UAGAAUCCUGCUUGCAAACAGCGAGAACAUUGCCUUUCAAGCAAGAGGUUAUCCCGGGCGCAUCUCCCUCUGCCCUUGAAAGUACUCUGGUUAAGUUGCCUGAAGAACUUCUGAAGGGUAAACCAAGUCUGGAUACUAACUUAAUUGCUGGAGUACCCCCGGCUGAAAUUCUGGCCAGAUGUGAGUUUUUGGAGCCAUUGUCUGAAGCUACAUUGUCAUAUUAUGAGUGGCUGGUUGCUAAUCUGCAAAAACCUGCCCCCCUCUUGAUGAAUAGGCUGCAACAUUACUUGUCAUCAUUAAUCCAAAGCUUUCUAGCAAAAGCUACAUUGAAAAGUUAAUGGCACUGCAUGCCAGUCAUUGUAAUGCUGUCAGGGCUAUUGGGUCAGGGCUAUUGGGUCAGAGCAUAACUUCAUUAGGAAAAGAGGCUUCAGCUACGUUAAAUAUUACAGGAUGUACUGAGAUGGCUGAAGUUCUUGAGGUUUUACGAGAAACGAAAGAUGAGUGUUUGUUUGAACAAAGUUGUUGCCAUCUUGCAGAGUUUGAGAAGAAAGAUCACUGAGCGAAUGCCACCGAUUUCUUAAUCAUUGUAGCCUCCAUAGUUGAAGUUUCCUUAUUUGAAGCUGUUUAUGCGUACGCUUUUUCCCUGCUCAAGUACAGGAAAUUGAAGAAUUAACCAGAUGUGAUAUGCUGAAAGAGGGAAGUUUUCUUCCUUGAACGUGGCCUUGUGAUUUGUCUUGGAAGGAAUAGGAUGAUCACUGGCAAGAACCCUAUCAAGGUAGAUUUUAUGGUGCUAACGUAUUAUUAAGCAUUUUGUUACAUCAGCAAUGAUGCUUUCAUAGCAUGAAAGGGUUUAAAUUUAACUGAAUGAUUCUGAUUAAUCAAUUAUGAGUUUGAAUCGAGUAAAAACUAAAUACAAUCAUCGUUAACAAUACUGAAAAAAUUUAACUGAAUCAUCGUUAAUUGAGUAAAUAGGAUCUUGAUAUUGAAGAAUUUGAAAUCACAACGCACACAGGAAAUUGAAGAAUUUGAAAUACAAUCAUCGUUAACAAUAUAAGAUGAGUGUUUGUUUGAACAAAGUUGUUGCCAAUCUUGCCGAGUUCGAAAAAAAAGAUCACGGAGCAAAUGCCACUGAUUUCUUCAUCAUUGUAGCCUCCAUAGUUGAAGUUUCCUCAUGUGAAGCUGUACAUCAAGUACAGGAAAUUGAAGAAUUAACCAGAUGUGAUAUGCUGAAAGAGGGAAGUUUUCUCCCUUGAAUGUGGCCUUUGUGAUUUGUCUUGAAGGAAUAGGAUGAUCACCGGCAAGAACCCUAUCAAGGUAGAUUUUAUGAUGUUAACAUAUUAUUAAGCAUUUUGUUACAUCAGCAAUGAUGCUUUCAUAGCAUGAAAGUGUUUAAAUUUAACUGAAUGAUCUUGAUUAAUCAAUAAUGAGUUUUAAUCGAGUAAAAACUAAAUACAAUAAUUGUUAACAAAUACUGAAAUUGGGUAAAUAUGAUCUUGCUAUUGAAGAAUUUGAAAUCACAACCCACACAGGAAAUCACCCUUCGCGUGGAGAUGGAGAUGUUUACUGCAGCGAUAUUGAAUAUGUCCACUGCUCUUUGGGUUAUGGUGCGACUUGCGAUUUCAAGGUUGCCCUGAAACAAUGGAAAAGAAUUAACAUACCCUGCAAUGAAUGAAAGCGGCUGGACUAAUUCUGAUUACCUGAUUGACUCAGGAUCGGAUGGCAAUAAAGACAGUUUAUUAACAAUGCACAGUCCCGAGUACUUUUUCAGGAUCAGAUAUUACGUGGUCUAAUGUUGAUAAUAAUAGAUUAUCAAAUGAGAGAUGCUGAGAGAUGCUGGUCUAGUAUUGCAAGCCCCCAGAUUUAAGAAUCUUUUGAUGAUAAUUUACCACCUGUAACUGUGCCGGAAGAUUCACCUAGCAUUGAAAAAGAUGAUAAUUUAAUUGAUAUGGAUAGUUUUCAUAACACUUUUAAAUCAUCUUAUGUAAUUAUAAUGUUGAGAAGCAUUAGUGGUCUAUAUGUGAACUAUUAUUGACGCUAUUUUGUUGUAAACAAUCUUAUUCAAUUAAUGUAUAAUUUAAAAUCAUUAUGUAAAUCAAUCUAUUACUUUUCAUGAUAUUUAACUGAGUUAAAACUAAGUGCACCCAAUAAAUCUCUUUUCCUUUAAAAAACUGUUACGCUUUGAUUUUAGUGCUUAAUAUUUACGGAACUCCGGUACAGGGAAUUCGAAAUCAAACUCGUAACUACAGAUUAUCUAAUUGCAAGCUUUUGUCCAUAGUUGCUGAUUGUAGUGAUUAUCUAAUUGACUGAGGUGACAACAAUUUUUUUUUUUAAUUUUCAAUAGCAUAAUGUGGAAUUCAAUAAUUAAAUUCUCCUUUUUAAUUUGUUUCCAGUUAAAUUAUUAAUUACUUAAACUCUGUUUUAAGUCUUUAAUUUUAUGUCUUGGCGUAUAUGCAGGGUUGGAUUCUUGAGCGUGUUGGACACGACCAACAAUGAAAUUGACAGUAAACAAACAUUAUAACGCGUUGAGUGUCGACUCCGCUAGCUGCCCUACAAGUCUACAACUUUACAAACAAUAACUGAGUACACACAUUUGAUUCUCAGGGCCUUUCAAUGAAUUUCUAGGCCGGUUGACUCCACCGACAAAAGUUUUGGAAAAUAAAAAAGAAAAUUCAUAGAAUUCCACCAAAUGCAAAACGCGUGGAAUUUAAUUUUCGGCUGUGUGGACCAAAACAUAAUUUAAUGAAAAAAAAGAUAAGAUUUCUAGAAUGUGUGGAAGGUGAUCCAUAUUUUACUGAAACAACUUAUUAAAUUUUUCAAGGAUUUAGAAUAUUUGGUCAUAAAUUACGCUCAUGUUAAUUUUUCCACUGUUGACUAUCAUAUUCUAGACUCACUGGUACCUUUCUUGAUGAAGGGUACUUAGUCUCUCUUCUCCUCUUAUAAAAAUUAUAUUAAUUAAUUUCUUAUUAUAAUAAAUAGUCUUUAAGAACGUAUAGAUUUAUUGUUUUCGUGACCAAAUUAUGCCAGCUUAAGGUUGCGACUAUUAAUAAAAUUAAUAUUUAAUGUUUAUGUUAAAAGAUAUAAGAUUUUUUGCAUUCAUUAAUUGUCAUUAGCUAAAGGAUUAAUUAUUUUUUCAACCCAAUCAGUUGAUGCAUCUGCAAGAAUUUUUUCUUUUAUUGACCAUAAUUAUAUUCCGGGUACAAUAAAUUAUCUUUGGUGCUUGGAAAAUAUGACUUCUUACUUCAAGUUUGAUGUGUCUCUCUCCAUAAGCUUACUGGAAAUAUAUCCUCAUCUACUGUCAUUUAUCUAAUAUCAAUUGAAUAUCUGACUUUUUCAAACUAUCACUUCCAAGUCUCAUUGUCACUUGGCCAUUCUUGGACCAUUCAAAACCAAACAAGUGUUGAAAUAAUCAAAUAUAUGCAAAAUUAGAGUCACGACUUUUGGUCCUCCAAAUUCUAAUUAUAUUACUUCUAUAUAUCUCAUUGUCAGGUCACGAACUUGUUGGCACAUUUUCCAAAUUCCUCUUCCAUCAGCUCUUACACGUUAACUUAAGUGGAAAGUUUCCAAGUUGAUUGCUAGAAAGCAACGCAAAAUCAGACACGCUUGAUCUGUCCCCUAAUUCUCUUUUCUACGUUGAAAAAGAAAAAAAAUAAGAAAAAAGAAAAUAGAUCUAUGUAAAAAUAAAUAAUAAACUGAGUAAAAGUACAUUUGUUUAUUUAACAUCUGAUCGGGGCAUUUUUGGUGUAAUUUCGUGCUGUGUUUAACCCACAACUAAAAUCAAACAGCCCCUUAGAAUACUUCUUCCAUUUUGGGUGCGUUUGGGAUUGAGGUUGGGCAGCUGUAACUUAAAAACUACAGCACUAAAGUGUUUGAUAAACACUAACUGCUGUAGCUUUUAAGCUAUGUUGAUAUGGUUUUUCACUUGUAUAAUACAAAAUUUAUUAUAUCUUUAAUAAUUUUAUCAAAAUUAUUAUUUAAAAUUUAUAUUUACUAUAUAUUAUUAACUUUUGUUUCAUAAUUACAGCUUUUUUUUCACAGCAACUGUAGCUUAAAAGCUACAGCAUCUCAAUCCCAAACGCACCCUUUAUCUGCUACUUUUGUGGAUCUUAUAGGGUGGGCAUGUGAACAGAAUUUAAAAAUUUUAAUAGUCUCAAAGAAUAAGAUAUGCUAAAGCUAAAGUUGUUGCACCUUCUAAUUAAAUAAAGUUGUAUAAUUUCACCAACUUGGAAGAAUUGAUAUUAAUGGACGGUCCCCUCUCCAUAUAUGAAGCCUUCUUAAAAGUUAAUUUUUAUUUCAGAAAAAAAAAGUUUAAGUUACAUAUAUUAUAGUAAGAUUUUUUUAGACCAAUUCCCUUCUUGAAAUAAUAAUGGAAAAGCAUUAAUUUAAAAAUAAAAUGAAUAUGUAUUGAUUAUAUCCUGAUUUUCAUCGAUUAUAGUGAGAGUUUCUCCAAAUCAAUUCCCUUAUUCAAAUAAUACAGAAAAAAUAGUAAUUUAAUAGUAAAAUAAACAAGUGUUGAUUAUAUAUUCUAAGUUUCAUCGAUUAUGUGAUCAAAGUGGCAUUGUUGAUUUAUUUCUUGUUCAAUGUUAAUUUUUAGGUUAUAUAAAUUUCAAGGAUCUAAAAUCUUUGGUCAUGGAUUACACGCUUGUUAAUUUUUCUGCCAUUAACUGUCAUAUUCUAGACUUAAUGAUACCUUUCUUGAUCAAGCGUAAUUAUUCUCUCUUCUCCUCUUAUAAAUUCCUCUUCCAUUAACAUCACUAGGAGUAUGUUGAUCUCUCAGACGUUAACUUGAGUGGAGAGUUUCCAAAUUGAUUGUUACAAAACAACACAAAAACUAGACACACUUGAUCUGUCUAAUAAUUCUCUUUCGGUAAAAUUAAUUAAUUUUAGGGAAAUAUUCUGCCAACCUCUGUAAUUUCAAAGUGAUCAUUAAUUAAUUAAACGAUACAAAUAUCUAAAGUGAUUAGAUGUUUGCCGACAAUACAAGUUCAUGACUUGAAAUUUGAUCUCUAUCGAUUGGUUUACAAAUGGACGUACUUGUGCCUUUGUGGCGAUAAUCAAACAAGUUCCCAUGAUUAUUAUUUUUUCCAAAAACGUUUUUACAACAAAUUCAUCUCGCCAAAAAUUCUAUGUUGCUAACUAACAAUAAUUGAGCACUUGGCCGCAUUGACCCCACGUCUCCACCUCUUUCUAAAAACAUGGAAAAUGUAAUUUCCACAAAAUGCCAAACGUGUGGAAUUUAAUUUUUUUGCCUUGUGGAUCAAAAUACAAAUGAAAGAAACAGGAGAAAAAAAAGGCCCAAAGACUUCUAAAAGAUGAAGAAGUCUUUGGGCCUUUUUAUAAUGGUGAAUUUUUUAAAAGAAAAAAAAUAACAACAUUUUUAUGGUUUGUUUUGAUAAUCAUAUUUACAUAUACUCUCUAAUUUUCAAAAUGGACACAUAAAUCUUUUUUUUUACAAAAUAUAUAUUAUUCAUAUUUUUUAUUUUUUAUUAUCAUAUUUUUAUUUAUUAUAAAUGUUUAGAGUAAAUUUUUAGGUUGAAAUAUAAUAAAAAUGUAUAAUCGUUCUCUUAUUAAACACACAUACUUUUAUUAGUUUCUAUGCAUUUGUCAUCUCAAUCUCUCUCAAUUAUUCUUUAUUGCUAGCUCAAAACGCGUUGCUGUUGCAAAUUAUAGCAAAAUGACAAAUAUGGAAAAAAAGGGAAGAAAAUUAAUGCAUGAAAGACUUGGAGAAAACAACAAAAUAAGCCAACUAUGAGCUAGUUGGGUGUAUAAAUUGUUAGAUGUGUUAUAUACAAAUAGCAUAGAGCCCUCUAGUUAGUUCCAGAGACAGAAAGAGCGUGUGUGUUUUUUCACAGUUAGAGAUAUAGUUAGAAUGGGUGGUUCAAAAUCAAAAAUGAUGAUAAUGUUUAUUAUGUUAUUAAUAAUAUUUAAAAGUGGGUGGAGUGAGGGAUGUUUGGAUCACGAGAGAUUUGCUCUUUUGCGACUCAAACAUUUCUUCGAUGAUAGUUAUCUUUAUGACUGGGCCGAUGAUGAGGGAGCUACUGAUUGUUGUCAGUGGGAAAAUGUUGAGUGCAGCAACACCACAGGCCGAGUGAUAGCGCUAGACCUUUUUGACACGCAUGGGGGAGAGCACAGCUGGUAUAUGAAUGCUUCUUUGUUUACUCCCUUCCAACAACUUGAGUCACUUGAUUUAACUGACAACAAUAUAGCCGGUUGUGUUGAGAAUGAAGGUGCUUCGUUUAAUUUAAUUAAUUUACUUUCUCCCCCCAAAUUUAAGUUGAAUAUCAAGACCGAGCAAUUAUAUGCAUAUUCAUUUAGUCGACAAUUUUGACUUUUUUUUAAAUGAUUAAUUUUGAAAUUACACCAGUAUCUAUGAUCUUUUUUUAUUUUAUUUUAUUUGCAGGUAUAGAGAGGCUAUCAAGAUUGAACAACUUGAAGAUGCUUAAUUUAAGUCGAAACUCAUUCAAUAAUAGCAUUUUAUCAUCUCUAACUCAUCUUUCAUCAUUAAGAUCAUUAAAUUUACUUUGGAAUAGAUUGGAAGGAAGUAUUGACGUUAAAGGUACAUAAUUAAAACUUCAAGCUCUUUCAUUAACUUGCUAAAAUAAGAUUCAAGGCUUUGAAAGAAAAAGAGAGAAAAAAACAAGGCCCAAAGACUUCUAAAAGAUGUAAAAGUCUUUGGGCUUUUUUAUAAUGGUGGAUUUUUUAAAAGGAAAAAAUAACAACGCUUCUAUGGUUUGUUUUGAUAAUCACAUUUACAUAUACUCUCUAAAUUUCAAAAUGGACACAUAAAUCUUUUUUUUUUCUACAAAUGUAUAUUGUAUUUUUUAUUAUUUUUAAUAUCAUAUUGUUAUUUAUUAUAAAUAUUUAAAGUAAAUUUUUAAGUUGAAAUAUAAUAAAAGAGUAUAAUCGUUCUCUUCUUAAACACUCAUACUUUUAGUUUCUAUCCAUUUGUCAUCUCAAUCUCUCUCAAUUAUUCAUUAUUGCUAGCUCAAAACGCGUUGCUGUGGAAAAUUAUAGCAAAAAGACAAAUAUGGAAAAGAAAAAAGGGAAGAAAAUUAAUGCAUGAAAGACUUGGAGAAAACAACGAAGUAAGUCAACUAUAAUCUAGCUGGGUGUAUAAAUUGUUUGAUGCUUUAUAAGCAAAUAACAUACAGAGACAGACAAUGUGUGUUCGUUUUUUCAUAGUUAAAGAUAUAGUUAGAAUGGGUGGUUCAAAAUCAAAAAUGGUGAUAAUGUUUGUUAUGUUAUUAAUAAUAUUUAAAAGUGGGUGGAGUGAGGGAUGUUUGGAUCACGAGAGAUUUGCUCUUUUACGACUCAAACAUUUCUUCAAUGAUCCUCUUAAUUCUCUUUACGACUGGGUAGAUGGUGAGGGAGCUACUGAUUGUUGUCAGUGGGAAAGGGUUGAGUGCAGCAACACCACAGGCCAAGUGAUAGCGUUGCACCUUUCUAAUAUAUAUUUGGGAGAGUACAGCUGGUAUCUGAAUGCUUCUUUGUUUACUCCCUUCCAACAACUUGAGUCACUUGAUUUAAGUUUCAACAAAAUAGCCGGUUGUGAUGAGAAUGAAGGUGCUUCGUUUAAUUUAAUUAAUUUACUUUCUCUCUCCUAAUUUAAGUGGUAUAUUAAAAUUGAGCAACUAUAUGCAUAUACAUUAGUUGACAAUUUUGACAUAUUUUUUGAAGUGAUUAAUUAAUUUUGAAAUUACACCAAAUAUCUAUGAUCAUUUUUUUUUAUUUUACUUGAAGGUAUAAAGAGGUUAUCAAGAUUGAACAACUUGAAGAUGCUUAAUUUAAGUGCUAACUCGUUCAACAAUAGCAUUUUAUCAUCUCUAACUCAUCUUUCAUCAAUAAGAUCAUUAAAUUUAUAUGUGAAUGAAUUGGAAGGAAGUAUUGAUGCUAAAGGUACAUAUUUAAAACUUCUCUCUUCCCCAAGCUCUUUCAUUAACUUGCUAAAAUAAGAUUCAAGGCUUUGAAUUCAAUUUUUUUAUGAUUAAUAUUUAAAAAAAACAGUUUUAAGCAAUUUAUAAAUACAAGUUUUAAUGUUUCUUAUAAUUUCAUCUUGUACUUUCAUAUGUCUUGAAUUUAAGAUUAAAAAAAAAACUCUAAUAGCAAACCAAACACCUCCACAACUUAUUAUUAUUAUUAUUAUUAUUAUUAUUAUUAUUAUAUAUUUUUUAAUUUGUGGUGAGGUUUGAAACAUUCAACUCAAUUUGUACUUGUUACAGAAUUUGAUUCUUUGAGAGAUUUAGAGGAGCUAGACAUUGGCGGGAACAAGAUUGACAAAUUUGUGGUCUCAAAAGGUACUACAAAUACCAUAAAAAAAAUAUGCUAACUUUUACAAAUUAGUUAGAUUCUUUGCCAUUUGGUUUAUUAUUUUACAGGUUUGAGUAAGUUGAAGUCUCUUGGUUUAAGUGGUAUCAAACUCAAUCGUAGCAUCUUAUCUUCUCUUUCUUCGUUAAGAGAAUUAGAUAUAAGUCGUACGGGAUUCAAAGGAACAUUUGAUGUUCGAGGUAAGCCUAAACCUUGCUUUCUCAUUUUAUAUAUGCCAACUAGAUUUGUGUAUCAUCGACAUAAUUUAAUAUUUAAUUUGAUAAGUCUGAAGGAAUUACAUGCUAAUUUAAACACACUUUUAUUUACUUUGUCAAUUAAUCAAUUAAUUACUAUUUGGCUUGGUUUGGACGAAAUUCUCAUGAUGUUUUAAUUUCUUUAAAUUAAUUAAUUAAUUAACUCUGUUUUUAAGUCUUAAGUCUGGGCAUGUUUGCAGAAUUUGAUUCCUUCAAUAACUUAGAAGUGUUGGACAUGAGUUGGAACGAAAUCGACAAUCUUGUGGUUCCUCAAGGUAAACAAUUAAAAUAUUAUUCAAUUACAUUAUUUUAAUUCAUUUGAUUAGAGAAGGCCAAAAAGGUAAAAAAAAAAUUCAAUAAAGAAAUAGAGAAUUUGUAUUAUUUAAAAAACAGAAUGUAAUAAAGAUUUGAUUCUAGUUCUUUAAUCUUUAAAGCGAUUGAAAAACAAUGUUGGUCUUUUCGCAAAGCAUAAAAUACGAAUUGAAUGCCAAUUAACUUAAUCAUUCAUUUCGUUUAGCUCUAAAUUUAGACAAUGAAUUUUUAUAUUAUUUCAAAAACAGGACGUAAUAGAAUUUUUUUAAAAAUAGAUUGUAAUGAAGAUUUGAUUCCAAUUCUUUAAUCUUUACAGUGAUUGAAAAACGAUACUACUUCCCAAAGCAUAAAAUACGAAUUGACUCUCAAUUAAAUUAAUCAUUUAUUUCGUUCAUCUCUGAAUUUAAAUAAUGAAUUUUGAUCUUCAAUCUUUUCCUAAUUAUUAUUAAUAAACAGGUUACAGAGGUUUGAGGAAGUUGAAAAGCUUUGGUCUAUCGGGAGUUGGAAUUAGAGAUGGAAGCAAGUUGUUACAGUCAAUGAGAUCAUUCCCAUCCCUCAACACUCUUGACCUGACCGAUAAUAAUUUUACCAAUAUAGCGACCGCUACUCAAGGUAAGUAAAAGGUACAGAUGUGGCCAAAUUUAUAAAUAAAUUGUUUAUUAAUUAAUUUUUUCGUAUUAUUAAUUAAGCUAAAUUCGUUGCUCCUUCCUUCUAAAUCUAAACAGAGUUGCACAAUUUCACCAACUUGGAAUAUUUGACAUUGCACGGUUCCUCUCUCCAUAUAAGCCUUCUGCAAAGCAUUGCAUCAAUAUUCCCUUCGUUAAAAAAUCUGUCGAUGUCUUUUUGUGAAGUCAAUGGUGUUGUACGCGGUCAAGGUAAAAGAAAAGCGUUGAUUGUGAACUCACUCAAUGGUGUCCUACGUGUUCAACAUUUUUAUUUAUUAAUUUAUUUAUUGUUUAAUGUUUCUGCUAGGUUUUCCUCAUUUCAAGAGUUUGGAACAUUUUGACAUGAGCUCCACACGCAUUGCACUCAACACCAGCUUUCUUCAAAUCAUCGGUGAAUCGAUGCCUUCUCUUAAGUACUUAUCACUGUCAUAUUCUACUCUUGGCACUAACAGCAGCAGGAUUCUUGAUCAAGGUUAAUGAGAUGCUGCCACCCUCCCUUCUUAAUCUAUAAUAUUAAUUUUCGAUUAAAUAUUUAAUUACACAAACCAAUCACUUAUUAUAAAAGAAUAAUACGCAUUCAUUAAUUUUUAAAUUGUAUUAAUAAUUGAUGAAUUUAAUAAAUUUUCAGGCCUCUGUUCGUUGAUGCAUCUACAAGAGUUACACAUUGCUUAUAACGAUUUAAGAGGUAGCUUGCCUUGGUGCUUGGCAAAUAUGACAUCCCUCCGAAUAUUAGAUGUUUCUUCCAAUCAACUUACUGGAAGCAUCUCCUCAUCUCCCCUCGUUCAUUUGACAUCCAUUGAAGAGCUGAGGCUUUCAUACAACCACUUCCAGAUCCCAAUUUCACUUGAACCACUUUUCAAUCAUUCAAGACUCAAGAUUUUUUAUGCUGACAACAACGAACUAAAUGCAGAAAUAACUGAGUCACAUUCUUUGACCGCCCCAAACUUCCAAUUAUCACGUCUCUCAUUGUCUUCCAGUUACGGAGACAGUUUCAUAUUCCCCAAAUUCCUUUACCAUCAACAUGACCUGGAGUAUGUUGAUCUCUCACACAUAAAGAUGAAUGGAGAAUUUCCAACUUGGUUGUUGGAAAACAACACAAAAUUGAGACAACUUUCUCUCGUCAAUGAUUCUCUUGCAGGACAUUUCCGGUUGCCAAUUCAUUCACACAAGCGGUUAGGACUGUUGGAUAUAUCCAACAACAACUUCCGAGGCCACAUUCCAGUAAAAAUUGGAGAUGUUUUACCAAGUUUAUACGUUUUCAACAAUUCCAUGAAUGCUUUAGACGGUAGCAUUCCCUCUUCAUUUGGUAAUAUGAAAUUCCUCCAAAUUCUGGACUUAUCCAACAAUCACUUGACUGGUGAAAUCCCCGAGCACUUGGCCGUGGGUUGCGUCAACUUGCAGUCUCUUGCAUUAUCAAAUAACAACCUACAAGGUCAUUUGUUCUCUAGAAAUUUUAACUUGACAAACUUGCAAUGGUUACAAUUGGAGGGCAAUCGCUUCGUAGGUGAGAUCCCACAAAGUUUGUCUAAAUGCUCCUCACUAGAAGGAUUGUAUCUUAACAAUAAUAGUCUUUCGGGUAAGAUUCCACGAUGGUUGGGUAAUCUCACAUGGUUACAAUAUAUUAUACUGCCCAAUAAUCAUCUUGAAGGCCCUAUUCCAGUGGAGUUUUGUCAGCUUGAUUCGCUUCAGAUUUUGGACAUUUCAGACAACAACAUAUCUGGAAGUUUACCAUCUUGUUUCCAUCCUCUCUCUAUCAAACAAGUUCAUCUUUCAAAAAAUAUGUUACAUGGACAGCUAAAAAGAGGUACAUUCUUUAAUUGCUCUUCCCUUGUGACAUUAGAUCUUAGUUAUAACCGCUUGAAUGGCAGCAUUCCGGAUUGGGUUGAUGGGCUUUCUCGGUUAAGCCACCUUAUCUUAGGUCACAAUAAUCUUGAAGGUGAAGUGCCAGUUCAAUUGUGCAAAUUGAACCAACUACAAUUGUUAGAUCUUUCUAAUAAUAAUCUUCACGGUCUUAUUCCUCCUUGCUUUGAUAACACCACACUUCAUGAAAGUUACAGCAAUAGUUCUAGUCCUGAUGAGCAAUUUGAAAUAUUUUUUUCCAUCGAAGGCCCUCAGGGAGGUGUAGAAAAGCAAAUCCAUGAAAAUUUUGAGUUCACAACAAAGAACAAUGCAUACAUUUACCAAGGAAAAGUGCUUAGCCUCCUAUCAGGACUUGAUCUUUCUUGCAACAAGCUAAUCGGUCAUAUUCCUCCUCAAAUUGGAAAUUUGACAAGGAUUCAAACAUUGAAUCUAUCGCACAACAACUUGACAGGAUCGAUCCCAUCAACAUUUUCAAACUUGAAGUAUGUCGAAAGUUUGGAUCUUUCCAACAACAAAUUGAAUGGGAAAAUCCCUUAUCAACUAGUGGAGUUAAAGACAUUGGAGGUUUUCAGUGUGGCAUACAAUAACUUAUCAGGCGAAAUUCCAGAAUGGAAAGCACAAUUUGCAACCUUCAACGAGAGUAGCUAUGAGGGAAAUAUUUUUCUUUGUGGACUGCCAUUGCCUAUUUGCAUAUCACCAACAACUACGCAGGAGGCUUCAAUUGACAAUGAACGAGAUGAUAAUUUAAUUGACAUGGACAGUUUCUUUAUCACAUUUACAACAUCGUACGUAAUUGUGAUAUUCGGAAUUGUUAUUGUUUUAUAUGUAAAUUCUUAUUGGCGACGUAGAUGGUUUUACUUUGUUGAAAUGUGGAUAACUUCAUGUUAUUAUUUUAUUGUAGACAAUCUUAUUGCAACAAGAUAUUGUCAUUGAAAUUAAUUAGCAGUUUAAUUACCAUUCUUUAAGUUCUAAUCAAGUUUGCUUAGGAAAUAAAUUUAUUUUUAUUUUUUAUUAAAAUUGUAGUAGUAUUUAGCGCUAUAUAGCUUCCAACUUCCGAGCACUUCACAUUUGUCUCUACACUUCCAAACCCAUAUCUGUCCACCAUAACUUAUACUUCCUUAUACUGUGCAGCAUACUUAAAUAAGAGAACCAUCUCCAAUGUUAAAACCAACCACUCUAUAACAUUCAUUUAGAAACUAUAUUUAGAAUAUUUUUAUAAUCAUACACAAGAAAUGAAACACCUAGAUGCACUUGAUCGCCUUUUUUUACUUUAAAAAAUAAUGAUUAUGGUGCUAUCAUCAUCUUCUUCACUAGCGUCAUUAACACCAAAUCCAGCGACGGACCCAUACAUUUUAUCAAGAAAGGUAUAUAUAUAAUAAAGUUGAAGCUCGACAAAAAUUCAGGAAGAUUGAUGCCUCGCCACAACAAGGGGCACACCAACAUCAAAGUAGAGAUGAAGCAAUAUUCUCAAAGCUAAAACUCUCAAAUCCACCCACCAGAAUUUCAUAUCCCUCAACAAUUUUAAGAACUAAAGAUAAUUAGGAUCUAACAUUAGUUUUUUAUAUAUUAGUUUCAUAAUUUACAAAUCAAUGAAGAUGAAGAUUAUGCUAAUGAAUUCAAAUUAUACCAUACAUUCUCGAGAUGUUACCAAAAAUUUCUAAGUCAAUCCCACAUAUUUCAUAAUUUUAAGACUAGAAAAUUUCAUUAGUUAGAAGUUUAUUACCUUCAAGUGGAAGAUGAAGAACAUUAUACAACUGAUUCAGAUUAUAUCAUACAUACUCCAAAUGCAACUAGAAAUUAACAAGUUCAUGCGCACAGAUUUCAUAACAUUAUGAUUGGAAAGUUUCACAAAGAGAAAUUCUAAAUUCAAUCUAUUGCAUCAAGGUAGUUUGAUUGAUUUGAGUUACUUUCUGAUCAAGCUACUAAUAUAACAUUCAAGUCAGGGAGAAAGUAAAUUAAAUCUGAGAAGAAAUAACAAUAAAAAUUUGUUGCUAAACAUGAUGUGUAUUUUUUUUUCAAGGCAAUUUGGAAACACAGUUGUUACUACAGAUAUUCUCCUCAACUUAGAGAUAAAUACAAAUAUUAAAAUGCAUAUGAUCGCACAUAUUACUUGGAGCUUAGUAAGAUUUCAUAAAGAGAAGAAAUCAAACCACUUAUCAAUUGUUGCAAUCGUUCUAUAAGCUAAAAUAGCAAUAUAAUACAAGAAAAGGAACAUAUAGAUACUUGGCAAGAGUUCAUUAAGAAGUCGCAUCACAUUCGGGUGAGUUUGCUUCUGAUAUCUUGCUAGCGGGGGCUUUUUCUUGUCUUUCUACGUAUGCCGAGGGAAACUAACCAGCUUGGCCCUUGCAUUCACCUUCUGACCAUCCAGUAGGAGCCACCUUGAGAAGUUAUAACUAAAACAGUGAAUUAAACAAAAGUUGACCGUUCAAAGACCUAAGGGGAAAACUAAUUCUUUUACGUAGGAGGAGUGAAUUAGUUGUGAUCACUGAAAUAACAGCAUAACUAUGGAAGCAUAACAAGAUAUAAAUUCACACGUCUAUAAGGGUAAACUGGGUGGUUUAGAACUGAGCUAGCAACCCUACUAUAUUCUGAUUUGCACUUCAAUGUAAAAGGGAAUAUAUGGUAGGAAGAAAGAAAACCAACCAUCAUUUGUUAACUCAUUGCUUUUCAAUCAAAAUUUUAAGAACAAAAUGCCAUGUGCUUUGAACAUCAAAUAAGUAUAAGCAUUAGUUCUAAAUUCCACAUAUCAUAAGUUAGAAGGAUAAGUUAAUAGCAUAGUAGAAAAAUCUCUGUGUUGUUAUUUAGAGGGGAAAGUACCAGGCGAACCACAACAUAAUCAUCAAUUGAAAGACUUAGCUCUCCAUUUGCUUGAGCAUCAAAUGGAUGUAUAACCUGCAAGAUAAUGGGAUAAAUAGAACUUAAAUCUUAAAAAAAGCAUAACAAAAGCAGCAACAGUAGCAGCAGCGUUCAUUGUAACCACUAUGAUCAUGGCCAACAAAGAUAUAUUAGAAACAAAAUUCCAUUUUUACUACGACAUUAAUAUGUACUAUAUGAUAUCAUGACGAUAGGGUUACCAAGAGCUAUCAAAGUCCAAUAAAUUCUGUAUAACUUUAUGUAGUUAUUCAAAUUAUGGAUCAGAUUUUAAAUCUGAAAUUUUGACUGCUCUCCACAAAACAUGGCCUAUGCACAAGAAAGUCAUAGAUAAUGAGGAUUACAAGUGUCUGACAUCUUUUGAGUGAUGGAUUUAACAUGAGAGCUUAUGGUCAGUCAAUUUCCUCUGCCUAGCAAUAUAAGCUUUUUCGGCCAGAUUUAUCAUCAAAUACAUAGAUUGCCCCCAAGUCACAUCCAUAUAAACAUAGUUUUUCUAGGUAAACCAAGUAAGGAAAAUCAUAAUUCAGACAUAAUCAUAAAAAGACCCAUCUAACUUUCUUUGGCAUGCCUAACUCAGCUUUGAUGUUGCUGAGAUAUUGAUAGUAGAGACACAUGAUACUUCUAGCUCAUGCAUUCUAUCUAGCUCAUCUGACAGCUAUCUCUUUUUUAAUUCAUUAGUGUUUGCUAAACCUCAUGCUUAAGAGUCCUGUUCUCCUAAACAAAGUUUUCUAAGAAUGACUUCCUCAGCACCACAUUUGGACACUUUUAAAGCAAUUUUAUUUGGGGGAAAAGAAUUUUCAAGGUGUUAACUAAUAAAUUUUAAAAAAUAAUUACAAUUUGUCCUACGAUUAUAUGACAAUUUAUCUGGGAUGAACGGAUACAGACAAACAUCUUCCACUUUUAAGACUAAUCACUACUUCCGUAGAUGUUUUGCAAUAACACAAAUGCUUGACCAGAUGGUAGUGAUGGUAGAAAAAAAUUUUAUUGCUCUAAAAUUAAAAUAAGAAUGCAAUAUGUUAAGCAAAAGACUGUGCAACAUCAAAUUAAUUGAUAAGUUUGUAAUUCAGUAAAUUAACAACUUUCAUGGUAAAAUACAACAAAUUUCUUUUCAAAAAAAAAUCUUAAAAGACAGCAUUCAAUUUUGUGCGCAUCUUAUUUCUUAAGAUUUUCCAGGAGGGCAAUACAGGGACUUUCACCUACGCAAGAGAGCAAAAGCCUUACUUUCGCUAUAAAGUAGACGUCAUUCUGAUUAAUAUGCGUUUGCAAAUCAGCUCCAUUUGAAUCAGUAUUCUGAUAGACACAUGAGGCAUUUACAUCCAUUUCCAAAGUCACAUGUUGCGAGGAGGACUCAUUUGAUUGCUCCUCUAGGAUCAUCUAAUUCAAGUAGCAAGGGUUGGAAGAGAAUAAAAAGUCACAAUUAUUCUUUUGCAUAAGUGAGACGAAAAUGAUAAAUGCACUAUUAUCAGCAGUAAACAAGAAGAGAACACUCCAAGGAAUAGAUAGAUGCGGACAAGCAAGUUAAAAUGCAAAGUUCCAAACCUCCGCAUACAACUUCUCUAAAAUAGCAAUAAUGUGUUGAUGAUAUGUUUUCUCAGCAUCUACCUGCAAAGGCCCGAGACUAGGAAAACAACAAUAAAACCACUAGCUAAAGGAGAAAGUAAAUAAAGAAAUACACUUGACAUAAAUCUUGACAAGAAGCACAAUUUAAGACAUAACAAACCCCAAUCAUAUUGUUUAGAACUACCAUUCGUUAUUUCGUUAUUGUAGCAUUUCGAACAAGUGUUGACUUAAUUCAACAUUGUUGGAAAGAUAGGCUUUUAGAAGCGGAAGAAAGCCACUCAAACCAAAGUGAUUAUCCUUGUAUUGAUCAAGGGAUGUAAACAUAUUACAUUUGCAGGAUGAGUUUUAAUCACUCCCCUGAUUUAUUUGGGUUGCAGUAAAACUAAGCGAGCAACUGUUUGACUUUCAAGCAACAUCUAAAUCAGCUAUUAAAAUUCAAAUAAAAUCAUAAUAGAAUAAUAACAGGCCAUCUUGCAUCAAAAAUUAAGUUUAAUUUGUGAAUUUUUUUCUAUAGACAUGUUAGUUCCUGCUAUUGAAAUGUUAAAAGCAUUGAAAAAUUAUUCAAUAAAUUAUGCAAACAUUAAAAUAGAGGACAUAUUAAAAAGUUUCUAAUUACAAUGUUAUGAUUUCCUAUAUUUUAGCAUUUGCAUAUUUUAAUUUAUUUAAAAGCUACGUCGAUCAACUUUGGGCGUGAAGAUUUUAGCUUCUACGAGACUUGAUUGGAAUAUGCAUAAGGAAGAGUGUUAAAAUAUGAUGCAUCCAACGAAAGACAAACCACGUGUAGUCUUUUAAUUAAGCCAAGAGUAGUGCUAGAGAGAGAGAAGCACGAGAGAAGGACGAGAGAAUUUUGCCCCUUUCUCUCUACCCACUCAUUCUCUCUCUACCCCUUUUUUCAUUGUUUCUCUCGUCUUUCUCUCGUGUUUCUCUACACCAAGCAUUUUCCUUAAGCCAAAGUAGCAGCUCAAACAAAUGACACUUGGACCAACAUGCAAUCAUGAAGUGGCCGGAAAAAGGACAAAUGCAACUUUGGCUUAAAUAAAAAAUAACAUGUGACUUGACUUUUGCUGGACAUGCAUCAUGUUAUUACAAGACAACAGAAAUCAGUAUGAUAGUACUAAAAGUUGACAAUAACAUGAAGAUAAGAGGCAGAAUGUCAACAAAUGCAUAGGCACACACAAGAAAGUAUUAACUUAUAUACCAUAGCAAAAAGUCUUUGAUAUGUCAUCUGUUGCUGCUGUGAUUCAACUGACAGCAUGGCAGCUGUCGCUUCUCUACCAAGAGCCAUUAUUGUAGAUUUAAGCUCGGUCAAUCUUGCUUCUGCAUUUCGAAGCUUCACAGCACUCUCUGCUGAUAUAUCAGAUUCCCUAAUCUUUGAUCGGCGCCUAAAUACUUCAGCUGCCUGGUGAAAAUAUUCAAUAUAAAUCUAACAUAAUUCUAAUCUUGCCUUAUACAUGCAUAUGUUAACUCAAAGCUUACCUGCGCUUCAACUUCAUGUCGAAGUUUGUCAUAACGAUGAGUCAGGUGUCGAGCAUCUUCCAAAGGUGCUCCAUUGAUUAACGCCCGUAGUGGCUCAGAUACCGACAUGUCCAAAAACCUGUAACAUAGUUAGAAAAAUGAAAAGAAAGAGCAAAACCUCAAUUAAAAAGUUCCUCCAACAUAAUCAUGGAAUUUGGGCCUACUUCAAGGAUAUAUAUAAGGAUAAUUUAUGCAAUUUUGGGUCUAAGGAUGAUUCAUAUUAGGUUAGUGUUCUUCUCUUCUGUAUUUAAGGUUAAAAUAGAAAUAAACCUAUGAAAAUAUCUAAAUUAGGGCUGUAAGACUUCCACAUGCAUCCUUCAGUCUCAUGGAUUUGAUUUUACUAUAGAUGCAAGUGUCUUUAUCGAAAAUGCUUGGAGUCAAUUGAGAGAACUCACGGCCAAUAACUUGUCACACGCUAGUCUUUGCUAGUGAUGUAAGAAGUCACAAGGUCUCUUCAACAUUUGAACCAAUAAAAUUAUUAAGUCAUGGAUGUCACUAGCAAUGAUUUUAAUAUAAAACAUUACAUAUUUCAGAGUUGAAACUUUAAAAUGGAUUCUUUUAUUCAGUAUCUUAGAACUAAGUUUCCUUAUGAGAAGAUAAUAGUUUCAGUAGUAAUUUACAUAUAAUUUUCUAUAUUUGAAUUAUUUUCUAGUUAGGGAUGAACUAACCUGAUCACGAAGAAUCCCAAGCAAAGUUUCCCUCUCAUUUUCCAUCAAAUCAUGUGAAGUGCCAAAUUGAAGAGCAGCUCUUGCAACGCAAGAAUUGUCACUUUGAUUCUCCACUCCAUACUUGCAACAAUCUUCGGCCAACUUUCUCGCUACAAUAUUUGAAUACAAAAAUAUUGUACACGAGAACUAGUCAAGAAAAUUAAAAAAAAAAAAAAUCAAAUAUUAUAACGAGAGCAAGAGCAAACAAACAACCUAUUUCCAUUUGUUUCAAGCUUACUGCAACAAACCCUUCAACGCCACGGACAACAUUCCUCUGAAAAUGCUGCGCUACAGAGCAUAUAUUCCAAAUUAUUGUUCAGAUAAAACCAUACAAACCAUCAUAAUUAUUCAACAUACAUUAAGCUCCGUUUGGUAAAUACUUGCAACUUCAGUCCAGAAAAUACAGUUAAUUUUUAUUUAAAAAACAUCAUAAUUAUCAACAUACAUAUUUGACAAAAUUAUUAUUUAAAAAUCAUAACUAAUUACCAAAAGCCACAAUAAAUCAAUAUCAAACAGUCUUAUUAUUAGCUAAAGGAGGAUAGUACCUUAGCUGCCCUGGUGGAAUUGUAUAGAUUUUGAAGUUGUUGGUGACACUCAAUUUCAGAUUCAUCAACAUUUUCAAUACCAAGAUGGAGCAGAUGCUUCAAUACUGCCUGUACAAACCAUAAAAAACUAAUGAAAAAUAAAUAAAAUCGAGAAAUUUCACUAAAUAAAAGUCUAAAUAUAAUUUUUAAAAAAAGAAAAGAAACGGACUUGCUGCUGCUUGGCGACUUGUUCUCGGAGCUUGAUUGCCUGUUUCUUGAUAGCUUCCAUACUGUUUCUUUCAAAAAGCGACGACGGCUCAGCUCAUGGAGGUGGAAAAAAAAAAGUGUGAUGGAGAAAAAUAAAAAGGCAUGAAUAAUUUUUGACAAAAAGCGAAAAUCAAGGAAAGCCAGCUCUUUCCAGAAAAAUAAAAAAGAAAAAAGAAAAUUAUAAGUUUGAAAGGAGAAGAUGAUAGUGGAAGUGUGCGGUGUGGCUGCCAGCUACUUGGAUUUUACUGUUGGGUAAGGUAAUAGUAGAGAAUUUUUUUUUUUUUUUAAGAAAAAUAGUAGAGAAUUUUUUAAGAAGCUAGAACAGAGCAUGACAUUAGACUUUUGUGGACCAAAUUCAAAAGCCGAAUGGCACGGCCCAGAAGCUUUUGAAUAGAAAAACUUGCAUCAGCCUCAAUCACUUCUUAAUCGCUUGCUUUAACUGCAUCGCUCUCUCUGUGCUCUUCUAUAUAUGUAACGGUUAUGCGGUUGUAGUUCACGACUGAGGCUACGUGUUGGUUUGACGUGGCAGUUACGUUACUAGGGGAUAAAUAAGAUUGGUUUCAACAAACCCACUAAUUUUAUAAAAUUCGAGUAAUAUAGAAUAAAAUAAAAAAAAUAAAUACAAAAUUGGCUUUUAUUUUUUCUGGUUGACUGUAUUUUGUGUUCUCUUCCGGCACUACUACAAUUGUUCCCUAUAUAUUAGUCACACCCAUAUGUCAUUAACACAAGAAAUGAAAUCUAAUGUCACCUAUUUAGUUAAAGAAUCACUUAUGAAAAAAUUUUACCAUUUUGAUUUGAGGAUCCAUAUUUUGAACUGCAAACUAAUGUUCAUCAAGAACAGAGUAUGACUUAUGUGUAGAAAAUUUUAUGAUUUUGGCCCGAAAUAUAAGGAAAUUAAAUUAGAUGAGAAUCUGCCACUUUCUCAUGAAGAAAGGCAUGCGGAGCAUACCAUGGUACCAUACGGAGAAUAUUAGAACCUCCCUAGAAUAUCUUUACCCUGAUGUUUCUAACAAAAAUCUGCAUGUGGCAGCAAUUACUAGAUCUACAAUUUCCCAAAUAAUAUUUUGUGUUUCUUAAAAAAUUUGAAAUACAUAGUUGCACUUGCACACCGUGAGACAGUGCUACAAUCUACUGAGAUCUAAAUUAUAUGAGACUUUAAGCUACUAAUGUUUGCAUAUUUCUACAUGUCAAAUUAACAUUACCAUCUAUAAUCCUAAACGACAGAUGAUAAACGGCUUUUGGCCACUUAUUACUAGCAUCCACAAUUAAUUUUUGUUCAGCAAUCAGCUUAUUUUAUAGAAAUUGAUUUAGUCAGCAACAAACACUAUAAUACUUGAAAUUAGUUCUUGUUCUUUGUAAUUUUCUAUGAUUUUUCAUAUAUCAAUUAAUCUGCAGUGCCAAGAUGAGGUUUAGUUUUCAAACUAAAUAAUCAAGUAAGCAAAAAUACAAAUUCAGAGAUUAGCGGGGUAAACUAGCUGGGUGGUUUAGAACUGGGCUAGCUACCUCCCUGUAUUCCUAUUUGUAAGGUGAAUUAAUUGAAUCAUGAGAAAACAAUGUGACCAUAGCUCAAUAUGAGAUGAUUUCGGAGAGGCAUAUUGUUUUCGAGUGAAUUUGAUCCAUUAAGAGAUGAAGUGGAUUGAAGUGGAAAGUUUAAAUAACAAAUCCUUGUUCUUGAGUUUUACGACGUCGUUACUCCUUCAGGUGGCAGAUUAUGCAAGUGAAUUCAAAAACACAAUGCAUCAAUCACGGGGACAAAAGACGGGAUCACAGUCUAUGCAUUGAACAGUUACAGUUGCUGCUACCAAUUGUUCGGCAAAGAUCAAGAAGACUGAACGGGAAGCUAAUGCCAUCAAUGUCGUCUUCACUAUAUCUGCUGGGAAUGUAGGUGAACUUUCCUCAUUUGCAGCUGUCUAUACAUAGGCUUUUCCCCAGCUUAAGUACAAAUAAAUGAAGCUGCCUUGAAGGCUUUAUUAUUGACCCCAAUAAGGAUUACUAAUUGAAGAAGACUAUACGGAGUUAAUCUCACAUUUUAGUUCUCUCAAUUUCUUUCAGAAGUGCCUCUGAAAAUAGCUGCCAAACCGUUAGUCAGCUUGUAUACUCUGUUUUCUGGAAACAGAGUAGCAUAUUUAAUCGUUUUAAUUGAAUUGUCUUCGUAGCGAUCAUCAACAAACUCAUCAUAAGAUUUUUGAAGCACCCAAGGACUAUCACUGGGUUUCUCUUCUGGUUGAUUUAUUAAUUAAUCAAAGAACGGUUGGAUGAAGUGCAAUGAUGGAGCAAAAUUUACAAUGUCUCCGGUUUCUCCUGACCAUCGGACUUUUGCAGUGAGAACAUAUAACAAAAAGACCUUCAUCAAAAUUUGUAGACUCCGGGUAUGGAUUGGAUCGAGUUUUUUGUUUGAUAUUGAAGAACCACUUUACUAUCGCGAUAUAGAUUAUGUGCAAGGGGUUGUCUACUGUUCUUUGCCUUGUGCUAUGAUCGGUGCUUUUGACGUUGCCCCGAAACAGUGGAAAAUACUUCGAUUUCCUCCGUUUGAUGAUGCAAAGAACUGGUUAAUGUACGAUUACCUAAUUGACUCAGGAUCAAGUAACAACAACAAUUUAUUAAUAGUAGUAUCACAAACGAAGAAGAUUUCGGAGAGGGUGAUGUAUGCCUAUACCGUUUACAGGUUUGAUCCACAGGGGAUGAAGUGGUCUCAAGUGGAAAGUGAUUUAUUAAACAACAAAUCAUUGUUCUUGGGUCAUACCUCAUGAUGUCAUCAAGUGGAAGAUGAAGAUUAUGCAAGACGAAGAUCGUUUGAUAUUGAAGAAUUUGAACAGAAAGCCCAUAGAAAGUACUUAAAUAAGCAUAUUCUUGUUGGGGUAGAAUAUUAAGAAAGGAGUUGUCUACUGUGUGUUGCGUGAUUAGGCUAUGAUCUGUGCUUUGAACAUUGCCCUCAAAACAGUGGAAAAUACUUCAUAUCCUCGACAUGAUGAUGAAAAAUUGGUUACCGAUUACCUAAUUGACUCAGUGACAACAAUCUAUUAAUAGCACAAUUUGGCGUGAUGCCGUUUAGGUAUAUGGUUUUCAAGUUUGAUUCAUCAGUGAUGAAGUGGACUAAAAUAAGAUGUUUAAAUGAUAAGUCAUUGUUCUUGGGCAUAUCGUCAUUACUACUUCUAGUGAUCAAAGAUGAAGAUGAAGAUGAAGAUGAAGAUGAAAAUUGUGCGAGUUCAAGAUUACCAUCAACUCAAUUUUAUGAUUGGAGUGUCUCACCGUGACUCAGACAAAUUCUGAUUCAACCUCCUUCACCAAUGGAUUUUGAUUAGUUAUUUUGUGAUCAAGCAACUUAAUUAAACUCACAGUUUGUUAGUCUAAUUUUAGUUUUACUGUGACCACUAUUCAAGGUAAGCGAAAGUUACAGAUGUGGCAAAAUCAAUAAUUAAAUUCAUAAAAUGUUAAAAAAUAAAACUUAUAAAUUUUGCAUGACUACUUACUAAUAAAUAAAUAAGUUAGAAUGUAGUUAGUUAAUUUUACACCAUAUUAUAUAUUAUUCGAUAAUAAUAUAAAAUAAAAAGAAUUAAAAAAUAAAUAAUUGAAUAAACAAAUAUGACUUUCUAAACAGUAAAAAUUCUAGAGUUAAAAUUUAUAUUAUUAUUUUAUUUUUUAAAAUUGACAUAUUUCUAUUAUCUUACAUGUACACAGAUUUUGAGAGUUGAGAAGAAUAUAUUUAAUGAAGCUUGCUAACAUUUGGUGGGAUAGCAAGUAAGGGUAAAUAAGAUUUUUUUGUUAUUUAUUUGAAUUAUAUCUAUUUUGUUCAAGUUAAAAUACUAAAUAUAAAUUGGAGGUAGACAUUUUAACAGAUCAUCUAAGCUCUCAAAUCUGAAAUUUUGUGUAGAUUUAAAUUCAUAAUUUUAGUUAAUUUUCAUACAUUCAUAUAAACAAAUUUAUGAGAUUUUUCUUUUCAGCAUGUUAUAUUUUGAAACUUUCAAUGUAUUAUUCUAGCUUUAUUUAAAUAAUUAAUUUAUUUAAAAUUUAUUUAAUUUUGAAUUUGAUCAAUAGUAAAAUUAUUUUUAUAUCAAAUUUUUUUAUUUAAAUAGUUCGUGGAUUGGACAAAAUUAAAAAUUUUUAAUCCACAAAAUGGUGGAUUAGAUAUGAAUUGGGUUAAAUACACAUUCGAUCCGCAGUCGUAUGAAUUUGAUUUGGAUUGAAUUUCAUCAAUCCAUGGAUUAGAUUGGAUUGAAAAAUUUAUUAUCCGCAAAAUCGUGGAUCGAAUAUGGACUGAUGUCCAAUCAGCAAAAUCCAAUCCCCGAACACUCCUCUAUCAAAAUUUUCAAGAAUAUUUUUUAUCUUACAAAUUUUUUUUAAAGUCAUAGUCUAAGGGCGGCCCAAUUUCUACUCCAUCCAUAUAAGCGGAGUUCAAAUCUCAUACCUCUUAUCUCCACACAAGAGAUUUAACCAAUUGAAAUAGCUAGCACCCACAAGUAUACUAGUACAGCAUCUCUUAACGUUUAACAUACGUAAAAUUAACGCCAUAGCUAUUGAUAAACACAUUGUUCAAUAUAUAUGAUCAAGAAUCUGAUCCUGCGAGCAACAGCAGUCAGAAGAACCAUUAUAAUGCCUAGCUCUUAUCCUGGUUAAUCCUCUGGCCCGAUGCUUCAUCAUAGUGAUUUAAAAAACCAACAACAGCUCUCUAAAAGAGAUGAAGAUAUCAUCUACGUAAAGAACAUGAGACGGAGAUUCACAACCCAUAAGAACUGAGAUAAAUUGGACCAGACCAGUAAUCUUGAGAUAAGUUAAACUGUGACUUAAGUUGAAAUCAGAGGACAGGAAUUUUAAAAUCUUUCGGCUAAGCCCCUGAGGAAUUUUCUAGAGUACGACUUCUGCUUACCUCUGUUUAAUUUCUCUUUAUAUUUUUCUUUCAUUUCAUUAAUAAAGUCAAAUAAUAAAUCAAAGAACGAGGGAAGAUUUUUCCAAGUCAUGCAUUAUUUGAUUACCAUCAAUCAAGAAACCGACCAAAUUAAUUUCUCUCCGUGAUUUUUAAAAAUUAAAAAAAAAAUAUUUGAGCAUAACAUCAUUAAUUAUAGAGUGGAUCAAACUGCGUUAAUCAUGAACUUUGUUGUGUUAAUUAUUUCAAUCCCCGAUUACGCAAUUUUUAAAUUAUAGCCUAACGGUGGUCUCAUCACCACGUGUGUGAUUUUCUUUUGCCAAUAGGAUCUGUAGAGAGCUUGAUCUCACCCAAUAGCAAAAUAAACUUCCUAAUAAGUGAAGGCAUAGUAUAAAUAAUUCACCCCCAUAUUAUUUAUUAGCAGCUUGAUUAUUUUAUAUGCAUCUUUGAUUUAAAUUUUUUUUUCCCAUAAUUGCUACUAUGUUCGAACUGGUCAUGAAUUAUCUAUAAGAUUUUUCAUGUUGCUUUUAGGUGCAUUGGAUUUUUUUUAGUUUAGUGCAAGAGUAGAGGAAGGCAAAUUAAGAAAAAGGAUAAAGAUCUAUGAUUAGCUAUUUUGGGAUGUCUCAUAACAUAUUGAUGGUAACAUUAUACAUAUGUAUAUCUAAAAAAUGGGGUUGGAUCAAGAGCCCAUUAAUAAUCAUAGAUUAGCUUAUAUAGCAAUUUCACAAGCACAUGUUAGCCUAUGUUGAGCUUUAUUAUCAAUAGUUCAUAGUUCAUCGGUGCACUGCAGGUUUACUAUUUGAAGUAAAUAUUAUGGUGCGUGCAUUUUUUAUAAGGCCAACUGCUGAAUUUAGCAUUGAAACUUACAAAAUGUAAUAGAGAGAGGUAGAUAACAGCCACAAAACACUAAGAUUGGAAAUCAGGGCUACUAAAUACUAUUACAAGCCCUUAGAAAAGACACUGAUCAUCCUAGAAUGUAUAUACUGAAAGUAAGAAAUAUUAAUCGCAAAGUUAUGUGCCAACAAAACUAUUGACUACUUGUCUCUAGCAGAAGGUAUAUAUUUUUAACUUCAGCUCUCUACUUUGUUCUAAGAACUAGGCAAAAGAAUGAAACUUCGGUGUCUAAAGUUUGCCGCUUGAAAUAUUUCACUGUCUAAACAUUCACUCACCACUUAUUUCAUAAAUGAAUUUUGUCUAACUAUAUGUUGAUAAAGAUAUUAGAGGUAAUAUAAUGCAUUUAAGACUUAACGUAUAUUUUUUAUUAGUAGAGUGUAGAAUUUUUAAGAAAUAAAUUAUUAAAUUACUAUAACUAACAUAUUAUUUUAAAGUUAUGUUAAGAAAAGAAUGAAAAUAAAAAAUAAAAAAAUAAGGGUAUUCUAAAACUUUGAUCCUUUUAAAAGUAGUUUUUGACGUAAAUAAAAUAAUUUUUAUUUUUUUUAAAUCACAUACUCUAGUUAAAAUCAAAUUUGUAUUUAUAAAGAUUGUAAAAUUUUUUUUAGCAUUAAUAUUUGAAUACUUUCAAGAUAAGAAAUAGGGUACUAAUUAUGCUACAACAUUAUUAUAGCACAUAAAAAGACAAUACCCUUUAUAUUAUUAUACUAUCGUUUUUGUUAUGAUAGUAUUUUGUUAGUGGUCAAAUAUUACUUUUUUAAAUAAAAAAGUAGACAAAUGUAAAUCAAUUUUUAAUCUCUCCUAAAAUUCUAAUUCCUAGUUACCAAACAAAAUUGUUUGAAAAUAAUUUGGCUAAGUGCAUGGGUUCUUAAAACUAUAGGUGAUAGAAGUUACAAGCACAAGCAAAUUUGACGGUCCAUUUUAUAAAAUUUUUAAUAAUUUUUUAUUUACCAUUUUACCACCUAUAUAAUGAGUGCCACAUCGACAAAUCAAUUCAUUUGCAAAUUAUAUUAAUUUUGUAAAAUUCAUUUGACUUGCUAAACCCUUCUUAUCCCCUUUCUCGACUGUCAUACCCUAACCUUAUUUCCCGUGUCCACACUUGACCACGCUCAAUUCAGGCCAUCAGAUUAUCCUGGACCCACAUUAAUCCAACUGCUCACAAUGACCGACAGCCUCUCCAUCUCCAUUUCAAGCUUCCUCUUCAACUGGCUUCUGCUUCCGUCGUACUCUUUCUUGGAUUCGGAGUCCGUAUUUGCUCGGCCGGUCCCGCACAGCUCCCUCUCACUCCAAUUGUCACCCAACAAGACCAAUUGCUUAACAUUGACCGUAUGGCAAUUGUCCGUAUUUCUUGGAUUCGGAGUCCGUAUGGCACAGAACAAGAAGAGGAUGAGAAAUUGAAACAAGAAUUUGAGAAUUGGAAAUCGAAAACGUACGCAUUGACCGUGCCUUUGAGGGCAAUUACUUUUCUUGAGAAUUGAAGUUUGGUAAUGUAAUUUGUUCUCCAUCUGUGUUCCCUUUGUAGUCAUUUCAUUUAUUUGUUUGUUUGCUUUUAUUUGCACUUACGAAGUCUCAGAUAUAUCUACGCAGGAAUGAUGCAGGAGAAAUUGAUCCUCGAGCUUACAAGAAAAGUAAAUUUCGAAAGCAUAAUUUGGCUCCGAUUGAGGUAAUAAUUGUCUUUAAACUCAUUUAGUUUUAUAUCAAACAAAAUAAAGGCUGCCUUUCUCUUCAAUAUUUUUUAUGAUAAUAUCUUUAGAAGCAUCUCAUUGACGGGUAAUCAUGGUAUCCCUUAAAGAGUCUAUAAACUCAAUGAUAUUUUCUUCUGCAAAUGGUUCAUUAAACUUCUUAGACGUAGUUAAAUGUACACUAAGAACAACGAGAAGCUAUGCCGCUGUAGCAUGUAGUGAGAUCUUGUUUGAAGUUGUUUUCUGAAAUGAACUGCCAAAUGGUAGUUUUUUAUUUCUUGGGUGCAUUUGAUGACUCUUUUCUCCUCAUUUUAAGCAUGUACCUGCUUGGAAUGGGAAGGAAUAGGCUUCCGAGUUGUUAUAUAUGUUGACAUGCUCUGAUCAUUACACAAAAUGUUCAAAUUGGAAAUUAGAAUGAGAUAUUUGUCGAUGCUUUUUGAGAGAUCUGCAUUCUAUGCACCAUAACAUGAUUAAUGAAAACAGGUUUAAGGACUGGAAAGAUCUGUGGCGGCCCAAGCUUGCAGGAAGGAUUUCAAUGGUUAAUUCUCCCAGAGAGGUUAUUGGUACAGUUUUGAAGUAUAUGGGAGCAUCAUACAAUUCAAACGACAUUGAUUAGCAAGUUGCUGCUGGGAGGAUUGCUGUUCAGCAGAAUCUGGCAUUACUGGGAAACCAGGUACUCUUAAAGAAAUGAUAUCUGGUCAAUGCAUAUUACUGCCUGAGCUGAUUUUGUUUGUAAAGUCUGCCUCUUCAUACAUAUGAAUGCAUAUGUUAGUGUUUUCUUCUCCUUUUAAUACACAUGAAUGCAUAUGUUAGUGUUGUCUUCUCCUUUCCAUAAAUAUGAAUGCAUAUGCUCUGGGUGUUGGUUACUACUUCAAGUGGAAGGUGAAGGUGAUGCAAGUGAUUUCAGGAGUACAUAUAUUCCAAGGAUGCUGGACUAUUAUUGCUUCCCCCCAUAUUUCAGAAUUUUUUGUCAACCUCCUCCACUAAGGGAUUCCAAUUGAGUUACAAAUAUAUUUUCUGUAGCUAUGUUUUAAAGUUUUGGUCUCAUGUUAAUUUUUCUAAUUACUAUUCUUCAACAAAUCUCUUUUACUUUAAAAAACUGCUACAGUUUGAUUUUACUGCCUUAUAUCAUUGAACAUUGAUACAUGGAAUUUGAAAUCAGACUUGUAACAACAGAUAUAUAGAUAUAGAACAUGCAUAUAAUCUCCAUUUCGAGCUCCCUCUCCAACUGGCUUCUGCUUCCGUCGUACUCUUUCUGGGAUUCGGAGUCCGUAUUUGCUCGGCCGGUCCUGCACAGCUCCCUCUCACUCCAAUUGUCACCCAACAAGACCAAUUGCUUAAUCAAGGCACAGAACAAGAAGAGGAUGAGAAGUUGAAACAAGAAUUUGAGAAUUGGAAAUCGAAAACGUAUGCAUUGACUGUGCCUCUAAGGGUUGUUUCUCUUCAGAAUUCAGUGCCUCAAUCUUGGGUUAAGGAUUUUAUGCGAAGUCAAGGAAAGAGAUUGAAGUUUCAGAUGAAUUUGUGUGCUAGCAUUGGUGGGAUCUUUAACAAUUUAUCUGUGCCCUUUAACAAAGUUAAGGGUAAGUCAGCUUCGUAUACGGCUGCUGAUUUGGUUAGUGUUGGUGAUUCAUGGCUCAGUUUUGCGAUUAAAAAGAGAUUGAUUGAGCCAAUAGCUGAAGCUGAAGAUCAAGAUUGGUUCAAAUGCUUAUGUCACAAAUGGAAGGUAACAUACUAACAUCUUUAUCUUUGACCCGAUAAUUUUUAUUGUCUUACAUUGAAAUUUGGUAAUGUAAUUUGUUCUCUAUUUGUGUUACCCUUUGUAGUCGUUUUAUUUAUUUGUUUAUUUGCUUUUAUUUGCACUAAUGAAAUCUCAGGUAUAUCUACGCAGGAAUGAUUCAGGAGAAAUUGAUCCUCGAGGUAAAAUAUGGGCGGCACCAUACAGGUGGGGCACAACGGUGAUAGCCCACAAGAAAAGUAAAUUUCGAAAGCAUAAUUUGGCUCCGAUUGAGGUAAUAAUUGUCUUUAAACUCAUUUAUUUUUAUAUCAAACAAAAUCAAGACUGCCUUUCUCUUCAAUAUUUUUUAUGAUAAUAUCUUUAGAAGCAUCUCAUUGACGGGUAACAAUGGUAUCCCUGAAAGAGUCUUUAAACUCAAUGAUAUUAUCUUCUACAAAUGGUUCAUUAAACUUUGUCGUUGUAGUGAAAUGUACACUCAGAGCAAUGAGAAGCUAUGCCACUGUAGCAUGUAGUGAUGGCACUUAAUAAGUGAGUUGCUAGGAUGUGAACUAGAAAAAUUAAAUAUUGUCUCCUUGGGUAUGCUAGCUCAUAAGUCAGGGUUAAUAUUAGAGCUUAAGUUACUAUAACCAUGAGACGCUAUUGACUGCCAAUUAAAAUAUCCAUUAAAUUGUCUAGGAAGUUAUGAAAGUGGAGGUAUCUUCCGAUUUCUAAGGCCAGAUAGUAGACAUCAUCCAGGAUCCUAGGAAAGUGCAGUUAACCUCCUGCUCGAUGCAAUUAAUAAAUUUGGUCAAUGCCACUGAAACCUGCAAACCGACGUCACAAUGCAAGAUGAGCACUUCAAAAUGGGACAGACGGUCAGUAGCACUAAAUUUUUCUUUCCCAAGAUUGAGCAAUUGGUCUAACAACUAACCCCUAUUGUAGGUUGAUCAUUAUUUUUCCAAUUAUGUUCAGUUUGACCCAAAAAGUUACAGAAUCUUGAGCUGAAUAUUGUCACUGAACACUGUCAAUGUCGUUUAGCAUACCCAACUAACUUGAGUUUGGUAAAACAAACACACUGUGUGUCUCAUCUCUCACAAUUCAAAUUAUCAUCUGUAAUGAUGGAGAAUUUUUCCGAUGUAUGAAGUAUGCUUUGAUACGUGUACCUUGGAGAAGAUAUCUCCAAAUAAAGAAUAUGGAGAGAAAACGGUUCAGUAGUUUAUUAUUCUGUAGGCAAUUCUUGUCUCAAAAAUGGUCAAAAUUUAAAUGAAUAAGGACAGGGGAUCUUCAUUCUUUUUUCCCUUUUUUAUACCAAGAUAUCUCUCAACCUUUAUAUAAUCCCCACUGGAUAUCUGCUUCUAAUAAUUAAAAUAAAAAUUUCACCCGCACAAAUAAAUACUGACCAAGCUCUAACAAUAAAAAGUAACAUCUUUACUCAAGUAAUUUACAGUUCCUCAUCAUCUUAGUGUGAGACUAUCAUUACGUUCCAAAAACAUAAUAAAACUGGUUUGAUCCUGUUUAUUGAUGUUUAAAUGUUGUUCAUUGUGACAUGUAGAAAUGAUGAGGCGAAGUUUAUUUGGUCAUCAAUUAGUAAGAUCUUGUUUGAAGUUGUUUUCUGAAAUGAACUGCCAAAUGGUAGUUUUUUUGGGCAUAUGAUGGCUCUUUUUUCCUCAUUUUCAACAUGUGCCUGCUUGGAAUGGGAUGGAUUAGGCUGCAGAGUUGUUAUAUAUUUUGAGAUGCUCUGGCCAUUGCACAAUUUGUUCACACUGGAAAUUAGAAUGAGAAAUUUGUUGAUGCUGUUUUGAGAGAUCUGCAUUCUAUGCACAAUAACAUGAUUAAUGAAAAUGGAUUGUAGGACUGGAAAGAUCUGUGGCAGCCUGAGCUCGCAGGAAGAAUUUCAAUGGUUAAUUCUCCCCGAGAGGUUAUUGGUUCAGUUUUGAAGUAUAUGGGAGCAUCAUACAAUUCAAGCGAUAUUGAUUCGCAAGUUGCGGGUGGGAAGAUUGCUGUUCAGCAGAAUCUGGCAUUACUGGCAAACCAGGUACUCUUAAAGAAAUGAUAUCUGAUCAUGCAUGUUAUUGCCUGACAACUGAUUUUGUUUGUAAAAGUCUGCUUCUUCAUACAUAUGAAUGCAUAUGUUAGUGUUCUCUUCUCCUUUUCAUACAUAUGAAUGCAUAUGUUGGUGUUGUCUUUUCCUUUUCAUACAUAUUAAUACAUAUAUUGGUGCUCUCUCCUGAGAUGGAUGCAAUAAAGGCUUUUGGUCCUAAAUUUAGCUGAAGAAAUGGCAAGGGAUGUGAGAUUCUGUCUCAUUAAAUUAACAAAAACCCAAAACAAUGAAAACCGAUAAUAAUGUGGUGGGGGUAAAUUGGCACCAUUUGGUUUGUUUCCUUAAUGUGAAUACACGAGCAAUAGGGACUAACAAAAUGAAGUGACAACAACAAGUCAGUGUCCUUUGAUGGAUGCAUUUUAGGCAGAAAUAGGUUUGUAAUUGACCAAUUUCAAAAAAUUUAAAUUAUGUGGUUAUUAGCUGUAAUGAAGGGGAUAGUAGGUGCAAUCAGGUGGAUCCAGGAAAGUUCAACAAAGUUCUGGUAUGGCAUAGUGAAAUUGGUUUGUGCAACUCAAGAGUCUUUCAGGUGAACGAUGAUACGUUUUGAUUUAUAAAUGUUAUAAAUCUACCGUCCAUAGUAUUCUAGUAGAGUCAUCUAUAAGUUCUAGUUAUUGAAAUUGUCUACUUUGUCCAGUUUGAGUUAAGGGCACAUGUAAUAGGAAAAAUAGUAUUCACAUCUUUUUGGUUACCUAACAUUUGAUCGAUCCUAUUAUGAGGGCUUCAAGAUGCCUGACAAUAUGUAGAAUGCCCAUGCUCCUCCCCAUUGUUUAUCUUAUACAAUAAUUUGUUUUAGAUGCUAAUAUAUUUGUCGAUACCGGUAACGAUAUUACAAUAUCUGCGUUUAUUGGGUUUUACAUAGGUUCGACUGUUUGACAGUACACACUAUCUGAAGGCAUUUGGAAUUGGAGAUGUAUGGGUUGCUGUUGGGUGGAGUAGUGAUGUUCUUCCUGCUGUCAAACGUAUGUCUAAUGUUGCAGUUGUUGUUCCCAAGUCUGGUGCUAGCUUAUGGGCCGAUCUUUGGGUAUACCCAUGCCUGCCAUUCUACUUCGAUAUUCACAUUGUUAUCUCCUUCAUUUUAGCGAUCAUAAACUUGAUAAUGUGACUAAUAAGUUCGUAUUCUCUAUAUAGGCAAUCCCUGCUGCCUCAAGACUUGAAACAAAAGAAAUUGGAGGGCGAGUCAGAGGUCCAUCUCCAUUAAUCCAUCAAUGGAUAGAAUUCUGCUUGCAAACAGCGAGAACAUUGCCUUUCAAGCAAGAGGUUAUCCCGGGCGCAUCUCCCUCUGCCCUUGAAAGUACUCUGGUUAAGUUGCCUGAAGAACUUCUGAUGGGUAAACCAAGUCUGGAUACUAACUUAAUUGCUGGAGUACCCCCGGCUGAAAUUCUGGCCAGAUGUGAGUUUUUGGAGCCAUUGCCUGAAGCUACAUUGUCAGAUUAUGAGUGGCUGGUUGCUAAUCUGCAAAAACCUGCCCCCGUCUUGAUGAAAAGGCUGCAACAUUACUUGUCAUCAUUAAUCCAAAGCUUUCUAGCAAAAGCUACAUUGAAAAGUUAAUGGCACUGCAUGCCAGUCAUUGUAAUGCUGUCAGGGCUAUUGGGUCAGGGCAAUUAGGUAAGAGCAUAACUUCAUUAGGAAAAGAGGCUUCAGCUACGUUAAAUAUUGCAGGAUGUACUGAGAUGGUUGAAGUUCUUGAGGUUUUACGAGAAACGAAAGAUGAGUGUUUGUUUGAACAAAGUUGUUGCCAUCUUGCAAGAUCACUGAGCGAAUGCCACCGAUUUCUUAAUCAUUGUAGCCUCCAUAGUUGAAGUUUCCUUAUUUGAAGCUGUUUAUGCGUACGCUUUUUCCCUGCUCAAGUACAGGAAAUUGAAGAAUUAACCAGAUGUGAUAUGCUGAAAGAGGGAAGUUUUCUUCCUUGAACGUGGCCUUGUGAUUUGUCUUGAAGGAAUAGGAUGAUCACUGGCAAGAACCCUAUCAAGGUAGAUUUUAUGGUGCUAACGUAUUAUUAAGCAUUUUGUUACAUCAGCAAUGAUGCUUCCAUAGCAUGAAAGUGUUUAAAUUUAACUGAAUGAUCUUGAUUAAUCAAUUAUGAGUUUUAAUCGAGUAAAAACUAAAUACAAUCAUCGUUAGCAAAUACUGAAAUUGGGUAAAUAUGAUCUUGAUAUUGAAGAAUCUGAAAACACAACCCACACAGGGAAUCACCCUUCGCGUGGGGAUGGAGAUGUUUACUGCAGCGAUAUUGAAUAUGUCCACUGCUCUUUGGGUUAUGGUGCGACUUGCCCUGAAACAAUGGAAAAGAUUAACAUACCCUGCAAUGAAUGAAAGCGGCUGGACUAAUUCUGAUUACCUAAUUGACUCAGGAUCGGGUGGCAAUAAUGACAGUUUAUUAACAAUGCACAGUUCCGAGUACUUUUCCAGGAUCAGAUAUUACGUGGUCUAAUGUUGAUAAUAAUAGAUUAUCAAAUGAGAGAUGCUGAGAGAUGCUGGUCUACCUUUGCAAGCCCCCAGAUUUAAGAAUCUUUUGAUGAUAAUUUACCACCUGUACCUGUGCCGGAAGAUUCACCUAGCACUGAAAAAGAUGAUAAUUUAAUUGAUAUGGAUAGUUUUCAUAACACUUUUAAAUCAUCUAUAUGUGAACUAUUAUUGACGCUAUUUUGUUGUAAACAAUCUUAUUCAAUUAAUAUAUAAUUUAAAAUCAUUAUGUAAAUCAAUCUAUUACUUUUCAUGAUAUUUAAUUGAGUUAAAACUAAGUGCACCCAAUAAAUCUCUUUUCCUUUAAAAAACUGUUACGCUUUGAUUUUAGUGCUUAAUAUUUACGGAACUCCGGUACAGGGAAUUCGAAAUCAAACUCGUAACCACAGAUUAUCUAAUUGCAAGUUUUUGUCCAUAGUUGCUGAUUGUAGUGAUUAUCUAAUUGACUGAGGUGACAACAAUUUUUUUUUUUAAUUUUCAAUAGCAUAAUGUGGAAUUCAAUAAUUAAAUUCUCCUUUUUAAUUUGUUUCCAAUUAAAUUAUUAAUUACUUAAACUCUGUUUUAAGUCUUUAAUUUUAUGUCUUGGCGUAUAUGCAGGGUUGGAUUCUUGAGCGUGUUGGACACGACCAACAAUGAAAUUGACAGUAAACAAACAUUACAACGCGUUGAGUGUCGACUCCGCUAGCUGCCCUACAAGUCUACAACUUUACAAACAACAACUGAGUACACACAUUUGAUUCUUGGGACCCUUCAAUGAAUUUCUAGCCCGGUUGACUCCACCGACAAAAGUUUUGGAAAAUAAAAAAGAAAAUUCAUAGAAUUCCACCAAAUGCAAAACGCGUGGAAUUUAAUUUUCGGCCAUGUGGACCAAAACAUAAUUUAAUGAAAAAAAAAGAUAAGAUUUCUAAAAUGUGUGGAAGGUGAUCCAUAUUUUACUGAAAACAACUUGUUAAAUUUUUCAAAGAUUUAGAAUAUUUGGUCAUAAAUUACGCUCAUGUUAAUUUUUCCGCUAUUGACUAUCAUAUUCUAGACUCACUGGUACCUUUCUUGAUGAAGGGUACUUAGUCUCUCUUCUCCUCUUAUAAAAAUUAUAUUAAGUGAUUUCUUAUUAUAAUAAAUAGUCUUUAAGAACGUAUAGAUUUAUUGUUUUCGUGACCAAAUUAUGCCAGCUUAAGGUUGCGACUAUUAAUAAAAUUAAUAUUUAAUGUUUAUGUUAAAAGAUAUAAGAUUUUAUGCAUUCAUUAAUUGUUAUUAGCUAAAGGAUUAAUUAUUUUUUCAACCCAAUCAGUUGAUGCAUCUGCAAAAAAAAUUUCUUUUAUUGACCAUAAUUAUAUUCCGGGUACAAUAAAUUAUCUUUGGUGCUUGGAAAAUUUGACUUCUUACUUCAAGUUUGAUGUGUCUCUCUCCAUAAGCUUACUGGAAAUAUAUCCUUUUGUAUUAUUAAUAAAGUGAAAUUUGUUGCUCCUUCCUUCUAAAUCUAAACAGAGUUUCACAAUUUCACCAACUUGGAAUAUUUGACAUUGGACUUUUCCUCUCUCCAUAUAAGCCUUCUGCAAAGAAUUGCAUCGUUAUUCCCUUCAUUAAAAAAUCUGUCGAUGUCUGGUUGUGAAGUCAAUGGUGUCCUACGCGGUCAAGGUAAAAGAAAAGUGUUGAUUGUGAACUCACUCAAUGGUGUCCUACGUGUUCAACAUUUUUAUUUAUUAAUCUUUCUGCUAGAUUUUCCUCAUUUCAAGAGUUUGGAACAUUUUGACCAGCUUUCUUCAAAUCAUCGGUGAAUCAAUGCCUUCUCUUAAGUACUUAUCACUGUCAGAUUCUACUCUUGGCACUAACAGCAGCAGGAUUCUUGUUCGAGGUUAAUCAGAUGCUCCCACCCUCCCUUCUUAAUCUAUAAUAUUAAUUUUCAAUUAAAUAUUCAAUUACACAAACCAAUCACUUAUUAUAAAAGAACAAUACGCAUUCAUUAAUUUUUAUAUUGUAUUAAUAAUUGAUGAAUUUAAUAAAUUUUCAAAUAUUGUAUUAAUAUUUGACAUCCAUUGAAGAGCUGUAUCUUUCAAACAAUCACUUCCAGAUCCCAAUUUCACUUGAACCAUUUUUCAAUCACUCACGACUCAAGAGUUUCUAUGCUGACAACAAUGAAAUAAAUGCAGAAAUAAUUGAGUCGCAUUCUUUGACUGCCCCAAACUUCCAAUUAAAAUAUCUCUCAUUGUCUUCCGGUUACGGAGAUGGUGUCACAUUCCCCAAAUUCCUUUACCAUCAACAUGAUCUGGAGACUGUUGACCUCUCACAUAUAAAGAUGAGUGGAGAAUUUCCAAAUUGGUUGUUGGAAAACAACACAAACUUAGAAUAUCUUUUUUUGGUUAAUGAUUCUCUUGCAGGACCUUUUCGGUUGCCAAUUCAUUCACACAAGCGGUUAAGACUGUUGGAUAUAUCCAACAACAACAUCCGAGGCCACAUUCCAGUAGAAAUUGGAGAUGUUUUACCAAAUUUAUACGUUUUCAACAAUUCCAUGAAUGCUUUAGACGGUAGCAUUCCCUCUUCAUUUGGUAAUAUGAAAUUCCUCCAAAUUCUAGACUUAUCCAACAAUCACUUGACUGGUAAAAUCCCCGAGCACUUGGCCAUGGGUUGCGUCUACUUGAAUUUUCUUGUCUUGUCAAACAACAACCUACAAGGUCAUUUGUUCUCUAGAAAUUUUAACUUGACAAACUUGAAAUGGUUACAAUUGGAGGGCAAUCGCUUCGUAGGUGAGAUCCCAGAAAGUUUGUCUAAAUGCUCCUCACUAGAAGGAUUGUCUCUUAACAAUAAUAGUCUUUCGGGUAAGAUUCCACGAUGGUUGGGUAAUCUCACAUGGUUAGAAUAUAUUAUAAUGCCCAAUAAUCAUCUUGAAGGCCCUAUUCCAGUGGAGUUUUGUCAGCUUGAUUUGCUUCAGAUUUUGGGCAUUUCAGACAACAACAUAUCUGGAAGUUUACCAUCUUGUUUCCAUCCUCUCUCUAUCAAACAAGUUCAUCUUUCAAAAAAUAUGUUACAUGGACAGCUAAAAAGAGGUACAUUCUUUCAUUGCUCUUCCCUUGUGACAUUAGAUCUUAGCUAUAACCGCUUGAAUGGCAGCAUUCCGGAUUGGGUUGAUGGGCUUUCUCAGUUAAGCCACCUUAUCUUAGGUCACAAUAAUCUUGAAGGUGAAGUGCUAGUUCAAUUAUGCGAAUUGAACCAACUACAAUUGUUAGAUCUUUCUAAUAAUAAUCUUCACGGUCCUAUUCCUCCUUGCUUUGAUAACACCACACUUUAUGAAAGUUACAGCAAUAAUUCUAGUCUUGAUGAGCAAUUUGAAAUAUCUUGUUCCAUCGAAAGCCCUCAGGGAGAUGUAGAAAAGCAAAUCCGUGAAAAUUUUGAGUUCACAACAAAGAACAUUGCGUACAUUUACCAAGGAAAAGUGCUUAGCCUCCUAUCAGGACUUGAUCUUUCUUGCAACAAGCUAAUCGGUCCUAUUCCUCCUCAAAUUGGAAAUUUGACAAGGAUUCAAACAUUGAAUCUAUCACACAACGACUUGACAGGAUCGAUCCCAUCAACAUUUUCAAACUUGAAGCAUGUCGAAAGUUUGGAUCUUUCCAACAACAAAUUGAAUGGGAAAAUCCCUCAUCAACUAGUGGGGUUAAAGACAUUGGAGGUUUUCAGUGUGGCAUACAAUAACUUAUCAGGCGAAAUUCCAGAAUGGACUGCACAAUUUGCAACAUUCAAUGAGAGUAGCUAUGAGGGAAAUACUUUUCUUUGUGGAUUGCCAAUGCCCAUUUGCAGAUCACCAGAAACUAUAUCGGAGGCUUCAAUUGGCAAUGAACGAGAUGAUAAUUUAAUUGACAUGGACAGUUUCUUUAUCACAUUUACAACAUCGUACGUAAUUGUGAUAUUCGCAAUUAUUAUUAUUUUAUAUGUAAAUUCUUAUUGGCGACGUAGAUGGUUUUACUUUGUUGAAAUGUGGAUAACUUCAUCUUACUAUUUUGUUGUAGACAAUCUUAUUCCAACAUGAUUUUGUCAUUGAAAUUAAUUAGUAGCUUAAUUACGAUCCUUUAAGUACUAAUCAAGUUUGCUUAGGAAAUAUUUUUUUAUUAAAAUUGUAGUAGUAUUUAGCAUUAUAUAGCUUCCAACUUCCAAGCACUUCACAUUUGUCUCUACACUUAAAAAACUGAGUGAUCAUGUUUUGCAGAUCUGGAUUUGGAGCAGGAUGGAUCCAAACCCAUAUCUGUCCACCAUAACUUAUAGCUUCCCUAUACUGUGCAGCAUACUUAAAUAAGAGAACCAUCUCCAAUGUUAAAAGCAUUCACUCUAUAACAUUCAUUUAGAAACUAUAUUCAGAAUAAUUUUAUAAUUAAACACAAGAAAUGAAACACACAGAUACACUUGAUCGCCUAUUUUACUCUAAAAAAGAACGAUUACUGUGCUAUCAUCAUCUUCUUCACUAGCAACAUUAACACCAAAUCGAUAGACCCAUACAUUUCAUCAAGAAAGGUAUAUAUCCAAUAAAGUUGAAGCCUAACAAAAAAUUCAAGAAGAUUAAUGCCUCGCCACAACAAGGGGCACAACAACAUCAAAGUAGAGAUUAAGCAGUAUUCUCAAAGCUAAAACUCUCAAAUCCACCCACCAGAAUUUCAUAUCUCCUCAACAAUUUUAAGAAAUAAAGAUAAUUAGGAUUUAACAUUAGUUUUUUAUAUAUUAGUUUCAUAAUUUACAAAUCAAUGAAGAUGAAGAUUAUGCUAAUAAAUUCAAAUUAUACCAUACAUUCUCUAGAUGUUACCAAAAAUUUCUAAGUCAAUCCCACAUAUUUCAUAAUUUUAAGACUAGAAAAUUUCACUAGUUAGAAGUUUCAUUAACUUCAAGUGGAAGAUGAAGAACAUUAUACAAGUGAUUCAGAUUAUAUCAUACAUACUCCAAAUGCAACUAGAAAUUAACAAGUUCAUGCGCACAUAUUUCAUAACAUUAUGAUUGAAACGUUUCACAAAGAGAAAUUCUAAAUUCAAUCUCUUGCAUGAAGGCAGUUUGAUUGAUUUGAGUUACUUUCUUAUCAAGCUACUAAUAUAACAUUCAAGUCAGGGAGAAAAUAAAUUAAAACUGGGAAGAAAUAACAGUAAAAAUUUGUUGCUCAACAUGAUGUGUAUUUUUUUUCAAGGCAAUUUGGAAACACAAUUGUUACUACAGAUAUUCUUCUCAACUUGGAGAUAAAUACAAAUAUUAAAAUGCAUAUGAUCGCACAUAUUACUUCGAGUUUAGUAAGAUUUCAUUAAAAGAAGCAAUCAAACCACUUAUCAAUUGUCGCAGUCGUUCUAUAAACUAAAAUAGCAAUAUAAUACAAGAAAAAGAACAUAUAGAUACUUGGCAAGAGUUCAUUAAGAAGUCGCAUCACAUUCGGGUGAGGAGUUUGCUUCUGAUAUCUUGCUAGCUGGGGCUUUUUCUUGUCUUUCUACGUAUGCCGAGGGAAACCAACCAGCUUGGCCCUUGCAUUCACCUUCCGACCAUCCAAUAGGAGCCACCUUGAGAAGUUAUAACUAAAACGGUGAAUUAAACAAAAGUUGACCGUUCAAAGACCUAAGGGGAAAACUAAUUCUUUUACGUAGGAGGAGUGAAUUAGUUGUGAUCACUGAAAUAACAGCAUAACUAUGGAAGCAUAACAAGAUAUAAAUUCACACGUCUAUAAGGAUAAACUGGGUGGUUUAGAACUGAGCUAGCAACCCUACUAUAUUCUGAUUUGCACUUCAAUGUAAAAGGGAAUAUAUGGUAGGAAGAAAGAAAACCAACCAUCAUUUGUUAACUCAUUGCUUUUCAAUCAAAAUUUUAAGAACAAAAUGCCAUGUGCUUUGAACAUCAAAUAAGUAUAAGCAUUAGUUCUAAAUUCCACAUAUCAUAAGUUGUUAGAAGGAUAAGUUAAUAGCAGAGUAGAAAAAUCAAUGUGUUGGUAUUUAGAGGGGAAAGUACCUGGCGAACCACAACAUAAUCAUCAAUUGAAAGACUUAGCUCUCCAUUUGCUUGAGCAUCAAAUGGAUGUAUAACCUGCAAGAUAAUGGGAUAAAUGGAACUUAAAAAAAGCAUAACAAAAGCAGCAACAGUAGCAGCAACGUUCAUUGUAACCACUAUGAUCAUGGCCAACAAAGAUAUAUUAGAAACAAAAUUCCAUUUUUACUAUGACAUUAAUAUGUACUAUACGAUAUCAUGACGAUUGGGUUACUAAGAGCUAUCAAAGUCUAAUAAGUUCUGUAUAACUUUAUGUAGUUAUUUAAAUUAUGGAUCAGAUUUUAAAUUUGAAAUUUUGACUGCUCUCCACAAAACAUGGCCUAUGCACAAGAAAGUCAUAGAUAAUGAGGAUUACAAGUGUCCGACAUCUUUUGAGUGAUGGAUUUAACAUGAGAGCUUAUGGUCAGUCAAUUUCCUCUGCCUAGCAAUAUAAGCUUUCUCGGCCAGAUUUAUCAUCAAAUACAUAGAUUGCCCCCAAGUCACAUCCAUAUAAACAUAGUUUUUCUAGGUAAACCAAGUAAGGAGCAUCAUAAUUCAGACAUAAUCAUAAAAAGGCCCAUCUAAAUUAAGAGAAAAUCUCAAAAAGAGGGAUGCUGAGCUAUCAGUCUUGUAUCUAUAAGCAAUAUCAAGACUUUACAUCACCUGCUACAUCAUGAGUGGCUACACAACUUUCAGUGGUUUGUCUUUCUUUGGCACGCCUAACUCAGCUUUGAUGUUGCUGAGAUAUUGAUAGUAGAGACACAUGAUACUUCUAGCUCAUGCAUUCUAUCUAACUCAUCCAACAACUAUCUCUUUUUUAAUUCAUUAGUGUUUGCUAAACCUCAUGCUUAAAAGUCCUGUUCUCCUAAAUAAAGUUUCCUAAGAAUGACUUCCUUAGCACCACAGUUGGACACUUGUAGAGCAAUUUUAUUUGGGGGAAAAGAAUUUUCAAGGUGUUAACUAAUAAAUUUUAAAAAAUAAUUACAAUUUGUCCUACGAUCAUAUGACAAUUUAUCUGGGAUGAAAGGAUACAGAUAGACAUCUUCCACUUUCAAGACUAAUCACUACUUCCGUAGAUGUUGUGCAAUAAUACAAAUACUUGACCAGAUGGUAGUGAUGGUAGAAAAAAAAUUUAUUGCUCCAAAAUUAAAAUAAGAAUGCAAUAUGUUAAGCAAAAGGCUGUGCAACAUCAAAUUAAUUGAUAAGAUAGAUGCAGACAAGCAAGUUAAAAUGCAUAGUCCCAAACCUCCGCAUACAACUUCUCUAAAAUAGCAAUAACGUGUUGAUGCUAUGUUUUCUCAGCAUCUACCUGCAAAGGCCCGAGACCAGGAAAACAACAAUAAAACCACUAGCUGAAGGAGAAAGCAAAGAAAGAAAUACACUUGACAUAAAUCUUGACAAGAAGCACAAUUUAAGACAUAACAAACCCCAAUCAUAUUGUUUAGAACUACCAUUCGUUAUUUCGUUAUUGUAACAUUUCGAACAAGUGUUGACUUAAUUCAACAUUGUUGGAAAGAUAGGCUUUUAGAAGCAGAAGAAAGCCUCUCAAACCAAAGUGCUGGUCCUUGUAUUGAUCAAGGGAUGUAAACAUAUUACAUUUGCAGGAUGAGAUUUAAUCACUCCCCUGAUUUAUUUGGGUUGCAGUAAAACUAAGCGAGCAACUGUUUGACUUCCAAGCAACAGCUAAAUCAGCUAUUAAAAUUCAAAUAAAAUCAUAAUAGAAUAAUAACAGGCCCUCUUGCAUCAAAAAUUAAGUUUAAUUUGUGCAUUGUUUUCUAUAGACAUGUCAGUUUCUGCUAUUGAAAUGUUAAAAGCAUUGAAAAAUUAUUCAAUAAAUUAUGCAAGCAUUAAAAUAGAGGACAUAUUAAAAAGUUUCUAAUUACAAUGCUAAUAUUUCCUAUAUUUUAGCAUUUGCAUAUUUUAAUUUAUUUAAAAGCUACGUCGAUCAACUUUGGGCAUGAAGAUUUUAGCUUCUACGAGACUUGAUUGGAAUAUGCAUAAGGAAGAGUGUUAAAAUAUGAUGCAUCCAACGAAAGAAAACCACGUGUAGUCUUUUAAUUAAGCCAAAGUAGCAGCUCAAACAAAUGACACUUGGACCAACAUGCAAUCAUGAAGUGGCCGGAAAAAGGACAAAUGCUACUUUGGCUUAAAUAAAAAAUAACAUGUGACUUGACUUUUGCUGGACAUGCAUCAUGUUAUUACAAGACAACAGAAAUCAGUAUGAUAGUACUAAAAGUUGACAAUAACAUGAAGAUAAGAGGCAGAAUGUCAACACAUGCAUAGGCACACACAAGAAAGUAUUAACAUAUAUACCAUAGCAAAAACUCUUUUAUAUGUCAUCUGUUGCUGCUGUGAUUCAACUGACAGCAAGGCAGCUGUCGCUUCUCUACCAAGAGCCAUUAUUUUAGAUUUAAGCUCGGUCAAUCUUGCUUCUGCAUUUCGAAGCUUCACAGCACUCUCUGCUGAUAUAUCAGAUUCCCUAAUCUUUGAUCGGUGCCUAAAUACUUCAGCUGCCUGGUGAAAAUAUUCAAUAUAAAUCUAAUAUAAUUCUCAUCUUGCCUUAUACAUGCAUAUGUUACGUCAAAGCUUACCUGGGCUUCAACUUCAUGUCGAAGUUUGUCAUAACAAUGAGUCAGGUGUCGAGCAUCUUCCAAAGGUGCUCCGUUGAUUAACGCCCGUAGUGGCUCAGAUACCUACAUGUCCAAAAACCUGUAACAUAGUUAGAAAAAUGAAAAGAAAGAGCGAAACCUCAAUUAAAAAGUUCAUCCAACAUAAUCAUGGAAUUUGGGCCUACUUUAAGAAUAUAUAUAAGGAUAAUUUAUGCAAUUUUGGGUCUUAGGAUGAUUGGUAUUAGGUUAGUGUUCUUCUCUUCUGUAUUUAAGGUUAAAAUAGAAAUAAACCUAUGCAAGUAUCUAAAUUAGGCCUGUAAGACAUCCACAUGCAUCCUUCAGUCUCAUGGAUUUGAUUUUACUAUAGAUGCAAGUGUCUUUAUCGAAAAUGCUUGGAGUCAAUUGAGAGAACUCAUGGCCAAUAACUUGUCACACGCUAGUCUUUGCUAGUGAUCACAAGGUCUCUUCAACAUUUGAACCAAUAAAAUUAUUAAGUCAUGGAUGUCACUAGCAAUGAUUUUAAUAUAAAACAUUAAAUAUUUCAGAGUUGUAACUUUAAAAUGGAUUCUUUUAUUCAAUAUCAUAGAACUAAGUUUCCUUAUGAGAAGAUAAUAGUUUCGAUAAUAAUUUUACAUAUAAUUUUCUAUAUUUGAAUUAUUUUCUAGUUAGGGAUGAACUAACCUGAUCACGAAGAAUCCCGAGCAAAGUUUCCCUCUCAUUUUCCAUCAAAUCAUGUGAAGUGCCAAAUUGAAGAGCAGCUCUUGCAACGCAAGAAUUGUCACUUUGAUUCUCUACUCCAUACUUGCAACAAUCUUCAGCCAACUUUCUCGCUACAAUAUUUGAAUACAAAAAUAUUGUACACAAGAACUAUAAAAAAACUAAUGAAAAAUGCCAAGAUGGAGCAGAUGCUUCAAUACUGCCUAUACAAACCAUAAAAAACUAAUGAAAAAUAAAUAAAAUCGAGAAAUUUUACUAAUUAAAAGUCUAAAUAUAAUUUUGAAAAAAGAAAAGAAACGGACUUGCUGCUGCUUGGCGACUUGUUCUCGGAGCUUGAUUGCCUGUUUCUUGAUAGCUUCCAUACUGUUUCUUUCAAAAAGCGACGACGGCUCUGCUCAUGGAAGUGGAAAAAAAAGUGUGAUCGAGAAAAAUGAAAAGGCGUGAAUAAUUUUUGACAAAAAGCGAAAAUCAAGGAAAGCCGGCUCUUUCCAGAAAAUAAAAAAAAGAAAAAAAGAAAAAAGAAAAUCAUAAGUUUGAAAGGAGAAGAUGAUAUUGGAAGUAUGCAGUGUGGCUGCCAGGUACUUGGAUUGUAUUGUCGGGUAAGGUAAUAGUGGAGAAUUGUAAGUUUGAACGGAGCAUGUUGGACUUUUGUUGACCAAAUUCAAAAGCCAAAUGGCACGGCCCGGAAGCUUUUGAAUAGAAAAACUUGCUAGAAAGCAUCAGUUUAAAUCACUACUUAAACGCUUGCUUUAACUGCACCGCUUUGUACUGUUUUAUGUAUGUAGCGGUUGUGCGGUUGUAAUUCACGGCUGACGCUACGUGUUUGUUUGUACUGUUCUAUUCGGUGACAGAGUAUUAUUAGUUAGGCCAAAACUAUGUUGCAACAGUGGUACAGUAGCACUGUUGCUUUCAGUCAUUAGAUCUAUAGUUGUACAGUUGCAUUAACAAGAUCCAAUGACUGAAAGCAACAGUAGUACCGAACUACUGUUGCAACAUAGCUGGAGCCUAUUAGUUAUUUCAAAGGGAUAAAUAAGAUUGGUUACAACAAACCUACUAAUUUUAUAAAAUUCAAGUAACAUAGAAUAAAAUAAAAAAAUAAAUACAAAAUUGACUUUUAUUUUUUAUGGUUGACUAUAUUUUGUGUUCUCUUCGGGCACUGCUACAAUUGUUCCCUAUAUAUCAAUUACACCACAUACUAUCGACACAAGAAAUGAAAUCUAAUAUCACCUGUUUAGUUAAAAAAUCACUCAUGAAAAAAUUUUACCAUUUUGAUUUGAGGAUCCAUAUUUUAAACUACAAGCUAAUGUUCAUCAAGAAUUACUGAUGGACAAAUUAUUUUUUUUGAUAGAAGAAUUUCUUUAGGAACUACUAAAUUAUUAAUAAAAAUAUCGAACACACCCACAUAUCAUCGACACAAUUGAUUUUGAGGAUCCAUGCUUUGAACUACAGCCUAAUGUUCAUCAAGAAUAGAGUAUGGCUUAUGAGUAGAAAAUUUUCUUAUUUUGGCCCAAAAUAAAAAGAAAUUAAAUUGGAUGAGAAUCUGCCACUUUCUCAUGAAGAAAGGCAUACGGAGCAUACCAUGGUACCAUACAAUAUAAGAAGCCUCCGUUCUUUGGUUUUUCAAACUCUGAAGGGGCUAAUAUUGCCAAAUUCCCCCUUGAAAAUUCUGAUUACGACAUUAUUCAUCGCUUGAUGCAAUCAAAGUAGUGACAAAGUUAGGAAAAAUAUGAGUCCUAAGUAAUUGCUAGGCAGGGCUCCUGAGAGCAAAAUUGUCCUAAGCAUUAUAUGCAUACAUAGUGCAGUACAUAGAGCACGUUGAAUUCCCCACUAUAACACAAACCCAGAAAGACAAGUAAUAACUCAACUGAUAUAAAGACAAAAAGAAGAUAAAAUGAUAUAGAAAAAAGAAUUUCAAAGAGACAGCAACAUACAAUAGACUGAAGCCACUUGAUCUGCUCAUUGAUUGCAGCCUUAAACUUGCAAAUAGUUACUGUACGCUAGUGCUCUAAGAAGUGAAAAUGAUGCGAGCCCUGAUUCCCUUUUGACUUCCAUUUACUGUCAAACAUUCUAGUAAUACAAAAAAUUGUUUAGAUAUCUUGCUAUAAAUAUAGCCGUUUGACUGUCAUAAUAAAGUCACAAAUAACCAUUCAUAUUGAUCUACUGUCACACAGCAUGCUUUAUGCAUACAACAGCUGUAUGCAUACCAACUCCUAACCUUAUCAAUACAUUUGGCAAAAACUUAAGAAGAAAGCUAUUUCUCCAUCUCUUUUUUGAAAUUUCACAAUAACCAGCACAAUGUGAAAGCUAUGUUCUAACCUUAUGAUAAAUGCUCCAGACUCCAAAAGGGUUUUAUAUAUGAGAGUUUGUUGCAGCAGAUAUAUUGACUUAUCAAGUAUGAAUCAUUGUCUGGAUGAACUAUCUUUAGAUAAAAGAAUAUUAGAACCACUGUAGAAUAUCUUUACCCUGCUGGUUCUAACAGGAAUCUGCAUGUGGCAACAAUUGCUAGACCCACAAUUCCCCAACUUGAAAUACAUAGUUGCACACCAUGAGAUAGUGCUACAAUCUACUGAGAUCUAACUUAUAUGGUACUUUAAGCUACUAAUGUUUGCAUAUUUCUACAUGUUAAAUUAACACUAUCAUCUAUAAUCACUCCAAAACAACAAAUGAUAAGCAGCUUUUGGCCACUUAUUACUAGCAUACACAAUUAUAAAUAAGAGAUCAUGGGUUUACUUGUUGCACCUACUUAAUUAUCUGCAGUUGACAUCCUGACACAAGGUUUAAAUAGUGACUGCUUAGAACCCUUGUAGUUGGAUCUUGACCUCUCCCAUUGUAGCCAAGAUUGGUUACUCUGGUAAUGAAUCAACACUCUCCUGCUCAGGGCCAUGAAGAUCUGAAAGCUCAGCACUAGUGGAGAACUUCAUCAAUCUCUUCUUCUCAGCAUACUUGAGACAAGGCUGCAUUACGAGACCAAUCACCACAGCACCAACGCUUAAAACUGCAACUUUUAAAGAAGAAAGAGCCAACACAACACAACACAAAUCAAUAUGGUUGGAGGAAUACACAUGAUAAUGGCUCCAACAGUGCCAGUGGGUAUCUUGUAGGGAUGAGAUGCAGCAGGAUAUUGUAUCCUUAACCAUACAAAUGCUAUGAACUCCAUAAUCAUUCCAAAACAGUACAGGAAGUUCUCUGCAGCUACAAUAUCUCGAAAGCUCAGCCAUGAUAGCAAAACCACACCAGAAGCUGAGAAUAUGAUUCCAAUCAAAGGAGUCCCAUAACAAGACCUCUUAGCAAAAAACUGAGGUAGCAUUCCACGCUCAGCCAUCCCCAAAAGUUGGAAAGAGUCGCUGCUCAUCUCAGCCACAAACAUGCCCAUAUUGGACAUUGCUGCAGCCCCCUGGAUGCACCAUCUCAACCAAACUCCUCCAAGCACUUUAGCAAUAUCUGAAAAGUAACCAUCGGUCCACAAGUCGCGAUCUAAUGGAAUAGCUCCAGUUCAAACUAGAAGGGGAAAGAAAUACCCAAAAAUGACCAAGAUCAAAGCAUAAAACAAAGCCUUUGGAAGAGUCUUCUUUGGGUUAUCCACCUCUCCAGCUAGUGUACUUAUUGAGUCCCAGUAGUUGAGAUUCCAAAACAGGGUGUUCAAAUACAAAUUCCAAUCCACUUCACCUAAAUUUACUACAAGCCAUCUUGAAGGCUCUAACUUGGGAAGGGACACAAGUCCCAUAACCCCAAAAGGAAGGAGUGAGAAAAUCCCUAAAAGAACAGCAGCCCAUCCCACAAUGGUUAGACCCCUAUAGUUCAUGAAAGUGAGAACAAAAGUCAAAGCUAACGCCGCAAAGGCUCUAGGUAACCCAUUGCCCAACGCAGGGAUACCAGACUUCAAGUAGUCAAGAAACAGAACUGGGUAUAAAGCAUUAUCAAUAACCCCACUUAGCCAUCCAACCUUGCUGAAAACCCCAAUAUGGGCCUAAGGCAGAUGAAACCCAAACCACAUAACCACAAUUUUCAGGAAACACAGUACCCAUUUCGGCAGUAAUUAAAGCUUCAGGGACACUCCAUAUAAUCGGAAACACCAAGAAACCAAGAAGUGCUAAAAGAGGACCAGCUGCCUUUACACUAUCCUCAACACCAAACGGCCCCCCAGAAACCUCAUAGAAUAUAAGGAAAAUAAGUGGCAAGAUUGAUACUUUUUUAGUGCCAUGGACUCGAGGAGAAGAUGGUUGGUCAUUGAUAUUAACAUAUUCAACAGCAUCAGACUGCCCUAUUUCUACUGAAACUUGCCUAUUUACAGUGUUCCUCAAUUUCUGCAUCAAGUUUAAGCAUAACUAUCAAAAGGGUAUCCGCAUCUAAAUUAUGAAACAAAAUGAGCAUUUACUUAUUAAAAAAAAUCAAAAAACAGAAAUGGAUUUCGCAGAGCACAUGAAUUUAAGUUCAACAUUAAACAGGCGCUUAAGAAAACAAAAGGGUCUGUUCGUAAAGCCAUCAGAUUGCAAGAUUGAACAACAUUAACGGAAUCAAUAGAAUAGAUGUAAAGAGAUCUGAAAAGAAAAUAAAAUAAAAGAUAAAGAGAGAUAAAACGAACCAUCAAAUAAGUGCAUGCAGAGCAGAGAGGCAGAUACUAGAGAAGCUCCGUCAUGUUAGAGAGAGCCUAAUUCAAUCAGAGCUCACUGAGUUUCUUUUCAACCGACCGGCAAAUUUGGAGUGGCACAACAUAAUAUUUUUACUUUUAAUUUUUGGAACACUUUUGAAUAGAAUUUUUUGUUUUUAAAAAAGGUAAGGGAGAUUAGUAUUUAUUUAACGGAUCAGGCUACGGUGCAACUGUGGCACCGUGCCACAGUUGCAUCUAGCCGUUGGAUGCAAUUGGAAUGGUGGAGUCCACUGACAUCCAACGGUUAGAUACAACUAUGACACGGUACCACAGUUGCACCUAAGGUUCCCUUAUUUAACUUUAUAUUUUUUAAAAUACCUUAAAAAUAUUUUUAUGUUAAAAUAUUAAUAUUUUUAUUAAUAAUUUUUAUAUUUUUAAUUUAUUUUUAUAAUAUUAUUUUUUAUAAUAAUUUUUUAUUUAAAUAUUAAUAAAAAAAUAAUUAAAUUAACAAUUUAAUCCUAAAAUAAAUAAACACGUGUUUGGUUUUGGGCUUUUUCUUUUGUUCGUUUAAUAUCAUCUGGCUCCCUGAUUUGUGACUAAUUAUCAACAGAAUCCCGUUGGUUUCUAAAUUGAAAUAAUAGAAGGUCAUGAGACUAUUUACUCCAUUUAGCACUGCAGACUUAGAGUAUAUUGAAAAAGCUUUGUCAAAUAGUAGUAAUAGGGGCAUAAGAAAUAAAUUAUAGCUAUCACAAAUUCGUUAGGAGAAUUUCAAUUUUUUCCAUCAAUAAUGGCUAUGAAGCAAAAUUACCUUAGGUUAUAUUGCAAUACUAAUACUUCAAAUCCUGAUAAUAAAUUUGAUGACAGUCGUUUUUAUCAUGGUUUUAACAGAUAUAAGAAGAGAAAAUUAACUGUUCAAACAAAUUAGAAGCAAAUUCUUUCAUAUCUUUCUUUUAUUUUUCCGCUUACUUUCUUAGCAUCCAAACAAGUUAAAGUUAAAACGCUGUUAGAGCCAACAAUAUGCAGGCAUCAAUAAGCAUAGUAGUUUUGUAUAUGUAUUCUAUACGAUAUUCUAGGGAUGUCAAUUGUAGAACAUUUUGUGGUAACUUUUUUACAUUAAUUAAUGUUUGAAGAACUUGUUAAAAAGAAAAUGGUAAUUUUAUCAUUUUGAAAGACAAAAAAAAAAAAAAAAAGAGUGAAAGUGGCGUUACCUCAUGGUCAUUAGAGACUUGUUGCAAUGAUAGCUCAAAAUUAAAAAUUUGUGAAGAAUUAGUAGACAACGACGAUACUAUAUUUAUACAGUCACCAACGUGUUGAUUUUUGUUUAAUGUUUGAUCGAUAGAAACUUUCGUCGUCGUCGCCGUUGUUGAAUUUGUGCUAAGAAUAUCACAAGAGAAGAAAAAAGGAUGAAAGGGAAGAGAAGAAGAGAGAAGUGGUGGACAGCAAAUAUGAUAUGCUAGCUACACACAGGCCUUAGAGAGUUUUUUUUUAAUAUUUAUUGUAUUUUUGUUUUUGUUAUUGGUUUUUCAUAUGCUUCCAAGGCAGCAAUGCGUUACAUCAUAAAUUGCACCUUUUAGGGGAGGUGGUAAAAAACAUGAGAGCAAUGCAUUCUAGCGCAUACAUGCAGAAAGAGUUUCCAAAUUUUCAAAAGUUUCUUUAUUUCUUCCACCUUUUUUUGCUUAAAAUAAAUUUUAAUUGUAUUUUGCAUUAACUUAGAGAAAAAAAAAUCCAGUUCUAUACAUAAACGCAUACAUUGAUUAGAAAAUGAGUUUUAUGGACACAAAGGGACAAUAUAAGAGAUUCUUUUUGUUUAUUAGAAGUAACAUAACUAGUUAGUGUAACAUGUAAUUAUAAGCUACCAAUAAUUUGCACUAAUGAUAAUUAACGGUAUAGAUUUUGAGCUAUGAAUGUCUUGUGGCUAGUUUAAUUAGAUUUUCGAGUUUUCAGCAGAUCUAUUUUAAUGAUUAUUAAAUUAUUUUCACUUCUUAUGCCUUAAUAAAAAAAAUCAAUAUUUUUUGCUGUAUUCUAUAUUUUAAAACUUAAUUUUUAGUUCUUUAUAUUGCAAACCAAACUGAGUCAAAUAGAGUAUGCUCUUCAAAUAAUUUUUCCAUUGCCUUCAAGAAGAAUUCAUUUUAUUUUUAUAUAUUAAUUUAACACUUGUAAACCGGGCCGUCAGAUUGCACAUAAAGCAAAUGAUCAAACCGUUACAAGACCGGCCCAGGCCCACCGACUCUAUUUUCUUUCAUUUGACCAUUAAAAAGCUUUUGGCCACCCCCACCAAAUAAAUAAGCUCUUGUUCUCUUUUGUUCCCUCUCAAAGGAAAAUAUCUGAUCACCGGAUAAUGAUUCCGGCGACACAAAAGAUCGAAACACCCCCCUAAAUUCCCUAAAUUUACGAUAAUACCCCACCAUGGAUGAUUCCGUUGAAAUGCCGCCUUACGAUGAAAGGCCUAAAAAGGGUUUUAACUUCACCUCCAUGCGCUUGAUCUUAACCCUCGUUUUCCCAAUUUUAACUUGCUUUUUGUUGGCAUUUUUUAUUGGAAUCGUAGCUGUUUUAUUCGGUGAAUCAUCAGUUUCCAGUUCCAUUUUUGUCCCUUCCCAGUGCAAGAUAGUGUCCAGCAGUAAGCUUUUUUUAACAUUUUCAAUUUUUUUUCCAUUUAUGAAGUCCAAAAAUUUUAUUAAUUUUGACUUUUUUGAAUGAUUUUGCAGGUGUUGAUAUAAGGUCAUCAAAAGUUUGUGAACUUGGGGUGUUGAAUUAUAAGGCGAAGCGUGUGUUUUAUCCAUUUGAAGCAAGUAAAUUUCGCUGUCGGUAUGAUUACUAUUAGGCUUCUAUCUUCAAGGUAUUCAUACAUUUUCCCCUGUACUAUAAGCUUCUCAGUGGCGGUCUUGUGAGCGGAAGUGAGCGGUGUGGUUGACAGCUUCUUGAAAAUUAUAAGUUUGAACCAAGCAUGUUAGAGCACCACCAAAAGCCUCUUUAAAUAAGAUUUUAUUAUUUAUUUAAAGAGCCACAUCAAUAUUGAAAGCUCCAAAAGACACUUCAAUUAAAAUUCUUUAAAUAAGAAUUGAUUCUCUUCAAAUUUGGAGAGUUAAUUUCUCCCUCUUCAAUUUAUAUUUUAUUACUUUUCAUUGAAGAAAUAGAGAAAUGCUUUAAUUGCUAUUAACUUUUCCUUUAAAAAACUAAUUAUAUGAUUAAAAUAAUAUUAACUUAUUUAUAUUUGAAGAGUCUUUUGAAGAAUAUCAUAUUUUUUUCACCAUUCUAUUUGCCACAUAGGUAAACAAAUAGAUAUUUAAAGAGUAAAAUUUAUAGAAACUUUUGGAGAUGCUCUUAGACUUUUGUUGACCAAAUUCGAAAGCCAAAUGGCACAGCUCAGAAGCUUUUGAAUUGAAUAACUUACUAGGAAGCUCCAAUUUUUUGUUGGCUACAGUAAAAGGAUGUUGUUUUAUUCUUCUUAUACUUUACGCUUGCAUCAGCUUAAAUCACUUCUUAAACGCUUUGCUUUAACUCCACUGCUUUGCUGGGGCGGAUUUACCUUGGAACAAGUGGGGACUUAAGUCCCCACUGAAAAAAAAAUUGUUUUAAUAAUUAAUUUGAUUUGCCAAAACUUCUCAAUAAAUUUUUCUUAAGCCCCCAUAAUUUCUUUCAACAAGCAAUUGAUCUAAAUGAGUUAAUUUCUGUCAGUUGUAUCCAAAUGAGUUCUCUGCAAUUGAUAUCAUGGCACUUGAAAUUCAACUUGAUACAUAUAUUUUGGAUAUGCGCACUAGUGCGAGACUAAAAGACAUAAGGUAUAUCCAUUGGUUUACUUGUUAAUAAUAUUAGCAUUGACUUUACCCGUUGCCAUUGCUAGUGUAGAGAGUAUUUUCAGCCAUGAACAUUUUGAAGAAUUGGUUAUAAAGCUGUGAGUAAUAGAUGAAUGAUAGUUUAAUUAUUUACAUAGAAAAAUACUUAUUUAAUAAUAUUGAUAAUGAACUUGUAAUGCAACAUUUUUAAUGUAUGAAAACUUGAAAGGACAAUUGUAAACAUAUAUUGAAGUAUGAUAAAUCUUUCAAAUUUAUAUAUUUAUUACUUUUUAAAUUUUUUUAUAUUGCCGUUGAAUGAGCCCCCAGUCAAUCAAUAUGUUGUCUUCACCCUGCUUCGUACUCUUCUAUAUAUGUAUCGGGUAUGCAGUUGUAGUUAAUGGUUGAGACUACGUGUUUGUUUGACGUGGUAGUUACGUUACGAGUCUGUUAAACAUUCGAUGAUUAAAGUAUUAUCUGUUAUUUCAAAGGGACAAAUAAGAUUAGCUACAACACACCCACUAGUUUUAUAAAAUUCGAAUGAGAUGGAAUAAAAUAAAAAAUAAAUAAGUAAAUUGACUUUUAAUUUUAGUGGUUGAAUAUAUUUUCUAUUCUCUUAGGGCACUGCUGUAAUUAUUCCUUAAACGUCAGUCAUACCCACAUAUAAUAGACACAAGAAAUGAAAUCUAAAAUCACCUGUUUAGUUAAAGAAUCAUCAUGAAAAAAUUUUGCCAUUUUGAUUUGAAGAUCCACUUUUUGAACAACCAACUUAUGUUCAUCAAGAACGGAUCAUGGCUUGUGAGUAGAAAAAUUAUUUUUGGACAAAUUAUUUUUUUUAAUAGAAGAAUUUCUCAAGGGACUAAUAAAAUUACUAAUAAAAAUGUCAGACACACCCACGUACCAUCGACACAAUUGACUAUGAGGAUCCAUGUUUUGAACUUCCACCUAAUGUUCAUCAAGAACAGAAUAUGGCUUGUGAAAAGAAAAUUUUCUGAUUUUGGCCUGGAACAAAAAGAAAUUAAAUUGAAGGAGAAUCUGCUACUUUCUCAUUAAGAAAGGCAGACAUGGUAUACCAUGGUACCAUACAAUAUAAAAAGUCUCCAUUCUCUGGCUUUUCAAACUCUGAAGGGGGCAAUAUUCCCCAAUUCUCCCGUGAAAAUUCUAAUUACGACAUUAUUCAUCGGUUGAUACAUAAGUACAAGUAGUGACAAAAUUAGGAAAAAUAUGACUCAUAAGUAAUUACUAGGCAGGGCUCUUGAGAGCAACAUUGUACUAGGCUUUAUAUGCAAACAUGGUGUGGUACAUAGAGCACGUUGAAUUCCACACUAUAACACAAACCCAGAAAGACAAGUAAUAUCUCAACUGAUAUAAAGACAAAAAGAAGAUAAAAUGAUACAGAACAAAGAAUUUCUAAGAGACAGCAACAUACAAUAGACUAAAGCCAGUUGAUCUGCUCAUUGAUUGCAGCCUUAAACUUGCAAAUGUUUACUGUAGCCUGGUGCUCUAAGAAGUGAAAAUGAUGCAAACCUUGAUUCCCUGUUUACUUCCAUUUACCAUCAACACAUUCUAUUCAUAAGAAAAAAAAUGUUUAGAUAUCUUGCCGUAAAUAUAGCCAUUUGAUUGUCUUAAUAAAGCCACACACAACCAUUCAUAUUGAUCCACAUUGCCACAUAGCCUGAUUUAAGCAUACAACAGCUGAAUGUAUACCUAACUCCUAACCUUAUCAAUACAUUGGCGACAACUUAAGAAGAAAACUAUUUCUCCAUCUCUUUUUUGAAAUUUCACAAUAAAACAGCACAAUGUAAGAGCUGCAAUGAAAAUGGACCGUCUGAAACUAUGGCGGAAGCUUCAACUAGUGUAGUGAUUUGACCUUCUUAUUAACCUAGCGAGAUCAAACACUGCCCUUGAUCUUGAACAGAUCAAUACGAUACGCACAACUUAUGAUUGAAUCCAGAAACAAUCAAAUCUUUAGCAAGAAUAAUUAAUCAGAAUCAAGAAACAAGUUUAAUGAAUAUAAACCUAUAAUUGGAACAAACACAGCCAAAGAACCCAAGAAUGACACAACGAACACCAAGGGAGAAGCUUUCCAGUGAGAUUAUAUUGAUGAUCAAAGAAGAAUCUUUUUACAAAGCUAACAAAAGAGAUUUCAGAGAAUAAGCUAUGACCCUCUCUCUCUUCAAUCUCUGUCUAGUUUGUUAACAGUGAUGACCCAAUCUGCUUCGUUAGCCAGCUUCAUAACUGCGUCAGUGACAAACCAGCAAACCCAGAUUGAGCAGACUAACGACACGUGCAUAACGGCUUUAACGAACUUGGUUAAAGAACUGCUCACAUGUUCGUCACGCGUGUUGCUUAAAUGAUAGCCAAAACGACUUCAACCAGAUGCCGUUUUGAAGCUUAUGAAUUAUAAGUGAAAACACGUGCUUGUCUCGUGACAUUUAAAUGCAACAACAAGCCCAAAACACUGCCGUUUCACUAUGUUGAGUUUGCCAUCUCUAAGCUUCACAACUAGCAGCGGACAAGAUGAUAAUUUAAUUGACAUGGACAACUUUUAUAUCACUUUUACAACAUUCUAUAUAAUUGUGAUAUUGGGAAUCGUCGGUGUUGUAUAUGUGAACCCUCGUUGGCGACACUGGUGGUUUUAUCUUUGUUGAAAUAUGGAUGACUUUUUGUUACUAUUUUGUUGUACAUAGUACAUAACCUUAUUCCCAGGAGAUUUAAUCAUUGAAAUUAACAUGUUAGUUUCAUUAGAAGGCUGAGUGGUUAGGGCUGCUACCCUCCAACUUGGAGGGCAAUAGUUUAAACCCACAAGCGCAAUGUGGGGGUAUUUCAUUCUUUAAUUACAUUGUAUAAUUGAAUAAAUGUAAUCUUCUCUCUUACACAAGUGUGAGUGGAGUAGACAUCUCUCGAAUAUUAGCGAGGGUUAAAACUUGGACAGAGCUCAAUAAGUAUUUAUGUAAGUUGGUCCUAGUAAUAAUCUGAUUUGUAAAUAUCAGUUAUAGUCUCAUGUUUCCUUCCUUAAUUAUAUUGUAUAAUUAAGUAAAUGUACUCUUCUCUCUUACCCAAGUGUGAGUGGAGUAAACAUCCCUAGAAUAUUAGUGAGGGUUAAAAUCUGGACAGAGCUCCAUAAGUAUUGAUGUAAGUUGAUCCCAGUAAUAGUAUGAUUUGUAAAUAUCAGUUAUAAUCUCAUGUAAUAUGAGUUGUAAUUUGAGCAACAGUUUCAUGUAAUUACAAAAAAAAUGCUACUUUCAUUACAUUUUUCUUCGUUAAAAUUCUCAAGUAUCAAUUAUGUUUGCUUAAGAAAUAAAAUUUCGUUAUGAAAAUUGUAGUAGUAUUUCCGAGCAUCUCACAUUUUCAAUGAUUUUUCAUAAAUCAAUUAAUCUGUCGUACCAAUAUCAUGUUUAGUUUUUCAGACUAAAUAAUCAAGAAAGCAAACAAAUUCACAGUUUAGAGGGGUAAACUAGCUUUUAGAUUUUAGAACUAGGCUAGAUACCUCACCAAAUUCCAAUUUGUACAGUGAACUACAAGAUUGAGAAAAUAAUGUAUUUAUAGUUUAAUUGAAUCAUGAGAAAACAAUGUAGUCAUAGCUCAAUCGGACAUGAUCACGGAGAGGCAUAUUCUUUUCAAGUUAAUUUGAUCCAUUUAUAAGAAAUGAAGUGGAUCGAAGUUAAAAGUUAAAAUAAAAAAUCCUUAUUCUUGAGUUUUACGACGUCGUUACUCCUUCAAGAGGCUGAUUGUGCAAGUGAAUGGAGAAACAGAAUGCUUUUAUAAUUUUUUUAAUAAUUGUAAAAAUAAUUAACCAUAACAAAUCCCUUGCGUAAAUACUAAUCAUUAUUUAAAAGGUAGAAAGAUAGUUAGUGCACAAUCAAAUUUUAAGCCCCUACCUCCUCGGCCCAAGAUUCAAACUUAGAUGAUCAGCCAAAUAAAAUUAUUUGAAAAUCAUUCAAUCAGGUUCCCGGAGUAAAAAUACAAGAUCCUUAUUAUAAAAGUUGUCCCACCUGCUGGUGUAUAACAACCACUUCAAUUCAAACUAGAUUCUUUUUGUUUUUUUUAAUGUAAUCCUGAUAAUAUUUAUGUUAUCUUAAGAAUAGGUCAGCUUGAUUAUUGCUGAAAUAUAGGAGGAAGUUAGCUUUGAUUCAUUGUAUUAUUUAUACGCUCUGAUACCAUAAAGAGAUUGAUAAUUGAAAAUGAACUCACUUCGUUACUGGUAUGUCUGGUUCGGUGGUUGGCGGGGAAGGUGGAAGAGAUGGUUGGCGGGCAGGUAGAGCUUCCUGUGGGGUUGGGUCAGCUGGUUGUGAAGUAGCCUCAGGCAGAGAUAAUUCUUGAGAGCUAGCUGCAGAUGGAGUGUUGGCUGCCUGCUGGAGUGAUGUGGGAAUGGACACAGUAAGUACAGGAGGAAUCCAAGUGGAUAUGGUAGUGGAAGUAGGACGUGGAAGAGUGGUGUGUAGUGAGGUGUAUGGAAAGACUGAUUCAACAAAUUGAACAUGGCGAGAAACAUGUUGCUGUUGAUUAUCAUUUUAUCAGAGAUCAAGUUCAAUCUGGUCUACUUCGAGUAGCUCAUGUCUCCUCUGCUGAUCAGCUUGCCGAUCUUCUCACCAAGCCACUGCCCACUUCUCAGUUCUUGCUUUUACGGGACAAGAUUGGCCUCUCUACUCGUGGCCUAUCUUGAGGGGGCAUAUAAAAGUUGUCCCACCUGCUGGUGUAUAACAACCACUUCAAUUCAAACUAGAUUCUUUUUGUUUUUUUGAAUGUAAUCCUGAUAAUAUUUCUGUUAUCUUAAGAAUAGGUCAGCUUGAUUAUUGCUGAAAUAUAGGAGGAAGUUAGGUUUGAUUCGUUGUAUUAUUUAUACGCUUUGAUUCUAAUGGAACGAAGUGAGUUCAUUUUCAAUUAUCAAUCUCUUUACUUAUUUGCAUGAUAUAUAUGAAUUAAUGUAAUUUAUUUGAAUUAUCCAAAUUCAUUAGAGAUAAAACUAUAAAAUAUACCAAAAACGUUAGAAGGAAGGGUGUGUUGGGAUGUUUUACAAACUAUAGGAAUCUGGUGAGAUUUUGAGCCAAACUGUAGGGAGUUGAAGGCAUUUGCCCAAUAUGUUUAGUCGUACACUAACCGUUAUUUGAUCUUGUUGUUGGUCCCGGAUGAGCUGUAGUCUUAUUUUAAUUUUAUUUAAACUCACCAUAAGAUUCGCGGAGCUCCUAACUAACUUAAAUGACUCUGCAGAGCAUGUCAACACAUAGCAUGUUUAACCGUUUUAUUUGUAGAAGAAUUUAUGAUUUCCCAUUAGCAUUAUUAUUGAAGUGGGGCGGGGGCGGGUCAAAUCUCAAUUGCUUGAAAAUUUUAUUUAUUAUUAUUAGUCUUGAAGUGAGGUGGGUAACGGUUCGCUCCAAUUCGAGGGAAUCAAAUAUAUCAUCCAAGGUAGAAUUGUGGAAAAUUAAAGCAAAAUAAGAAAUAUGGAAAGAAAAGAAGAAAGUUAAGGCAUGAAAGACAUAUACAGUUGAAAUUAUAAUCAUGUUUCUAUUUUGUUAACUAAUCAAAUGGAAAGCUGAACUGUAAACAAACAUUAAAACGUGUGGACCAAGCUAGCUGCCCUACAAGUCCACAAUAAUAAUUGAGUACUUUGAUUCAUCCUUCUAUAAAUUUCUACCCAUAUUGACUCCACCGAAAUUUCCACAAAAUUAAAAAAAAAAAACUGAAUUUCCACAAAAUACAAAACCCGUUGAACUUAUUUUUUGGUCAUGUGAACUAAGAUGUAAAUUAAAAAAAAAGUAUAAAAUUAAAAAAGAUAAGAUUUCUAAAAUGUGUGGAAGGUGAUUCAUGAUUCACUGAAAUUACUUACCCCAGAUAUAAAAGUAAACCUAUCUAAUUUCAUUAAAAAUAGUUAGAAAAAAUUAACUAAUAAAAAGCUACGGAAAUUAACCCCCCACAAAAAUGACUUUUUAUAGAAGAAUUUAUGUUUUUUAAAAUAUGUUAUCAAAGUGUAUUUGAUCAAAUCUCAAUUGCUUAGUAUGGUUAGGAUUUUGUGAACAUCACUAAAAAGUGAAAAACUAUGAAUGAUAGGGGUGAUGCUUGCAAUAUGAAUAAAUAAUGGACUGAUUCAAUUGAUGAUUACAUUUAUAUAUUAUUGAUUAUUUAUGAAUUUUCAGACUUGUUAUGAUGUAUAACUAUGUGAUUUUGAAACUUGAAACCGUGGCAAACAUUGAAAGGAAUUAUAACUUGAAAGCAUGACUCACGGGGUAUGUCAUGAUUCACGUGCACAAAAAAGGUAGAAUUGUGGAAAUUUACAACCCAACGACAAAUACGGAAAGAAAGGAAGAAAAUUAAAAGACUUCGGGCCUAGCCUGCGUGUAUUAAUUAUUAGAUUACUUUUUUUUUUAUAAGGGUAAUCAUCAAUUUACUCCAUAACAAUCUUUAAUUCAUUUUUAAAAAAUAUGAAAACUUUAAUUUAUCUUUUAAACAUCGUUACCUCUUCAUUGGUUUUAAUAGUUCAAAGGGUAAAAUUAUAUUUGCAUAUUUUCUUGACCGCCAACUAAAUGAUAAAACUCAAAAUUCAAUCUUGUUAUCUUGUUUCAAUCCUCUAUCAAUCAAAUAAGAUUUCUAAAAUAUGUGAAAGAUAUUGCAUGAUUUCCUCAACCUACCUGGCCCCGAACAUCAAGGUAAAUCUCUCUAAAAUAGUUGAUUAAAUCUCAGUUGCUAAGUAUAGUUAGGAUUGUGUGAACAUCACUGAAAACUAUGAUUGAUAGAAGUGAUCUUUGCAAUAUGAAUAAAUAAUUAACUGAAUCAAUUGAUUUAUAUAUUAAAGUUUAUGAAUUUUCGGACUUGUUGCGAUAUAAUAAUAGCAUAUGAUUUGAAACUUGAAACAGUGGUAAAUAUUGAAAGGAAUUAAUUUGAAAGCAUGAUCCGUGGGGAAUGUGAUGAAUCGUGUUUACAAAAAAGGUAGAAUUGUGGAAAUUUAUAACAGAACGAUAAAUAUGGUAAAAAGGAAGAAAAUUGAAAGACUUGGGGCCUGGCCUGGGUGUAUUUUCUAACUGUCCAAUGGACAAAAUUAUAUUUGUAUACUUUCUCUUCCCUAGCUAGGUUUCAUAGAAUAGCUCAUUUCAUUUUUAUUUUUUAAAUAAUAGCCCAAAACAUCCUUAUGUUAAUUCACUGUUAGUUGAAUAUCAUUUGUUAGUAAUUCAUUAAGGGUAAAAAAUGAUUUUCUAUCAAAGAGAAAAUUAGAAAAAUAAAUAAAAGUUGACAUAUAACUAAAAAUGAUCUUAUCUAAUCCCACUAAAUAAGAAAUGCCAAAAAAGAUGAAAAAUUUAUAUUUCAAGCAAUUCUUUUUUCACUUAUUUCUAUUUUGGCGGCAUGAAAGCCCUAUAAACCCUAGAUCUAAAUACCAAAAAUAUCACAAUUUUCUUAUUCAUAUAAGUAUACUCUCUAAUUGCAUUGUAAAAUGGCUUGAAUUGAAUUGAAGAUAAAGAAAAUAUUCAGCACAUGCAAGCACAUAAAAAUUGGUGGCAUUUUUGAGUUUUUCUUCCAAUGAUUUAAAGAUAUUGUUUUAAUUACAGUUUGUUCCUUAUGACAAUUAUUCAAUGGCUAUAUCAAACUAUAUCAUCGUUGAUUUCAUUUAAGAAAAAGUUAAUGAAUUUUGCAUACUUUGUAGUGUUAUUUAAUUGUGUAAAAAAAUUAUUUUAAUAUAGUUUGUAUCACUUUAAUGAAAAAUCUUAUUUUGCUCUCAAUGAAUUACUGGUUAAUAGUUUUACACUCACGGUGAGUUAACGGAAGGAUAUUUUAGGCUAUUGAUUGAAAAGGAGGGAUAAAAUGGGCUAUUGCAUUAAACUUUAGGGAUGAAAAAUGCUUUUUCUCCUUUCUUAUCAAUCAACUAACUGAUAAAAGUCAAAACUCAUAUUUUUUUUUUCCUUGUUUCAAUCCCCUCUCAAUCAAAAAAGUUUCCUUGUCUAAGCAAUGAGGAAUAUGGCUAGAAAGAUUGUUAUUAGAAAGAUUUAUCAAUAGUAAUUGGUUCACAACUGAACAAUUUUAGAUUAUUGUGAGUCAAUAUAGGUCUUGUUUGGAAUUGAAGUGUUGUAGCUUUUAAGCUACAGCUGCUUUAGAAAAAAAACUAUAAUUAUGAAAUAAGAGUUAAUAAUAUAUAAUAAAUAUAAAUUUUAAAUAAUAAAUUUGACAAAAUUAUUAAAAAUAUAAUAGAUUUUUGAUAAUACAAGUAAAAAAAUCAUAUCAACAUAGCUUGCAAGUUACAACAGUUAGUGUUUACCUAAUACUUUAAUACUGUAGCUUUUAAGUUACAGUUGUCCAAUACCUCAAUUCCAAACGCACCUAUAAAAUGGCUUGCUUCAAAAGUCUAUCAACCCAACUUGGAAUGCUCUCAUUGUUGCGGAAACGUGGGUUGAGCAAUUACUAAUACUGCAACUUCUGGAGAAAUAUAAAUGUGGUGAUAAACAAAUGCAAAGAAAAUAGAACACAAUAUUUUACGUGGUUCGGCGUAAUGCCUACGUCCACGGGCAAAAACUGGAAGAUAAUUUUACUAACAAUGAAAUUUACAAAAGUGGGAAAAACUCACAAAACCCACAACCCCAAUACACCCAAAUGGAACCUCACUAGAACACUCAAGUGGAAGCUCUCUCAAAUUCUCUCAAAGAACUCACUUGCAAUUGCUCUCUACUUCUCUCAAAUUGGGAUGGUUACAAUAGCAAAAUGCUUCUCUAUUUAUAGAUUGCAUUCUGCUCCAAGUUGGGUUCAAUUUGUCAAAAUGUUGAGCUGGAUCUUGUAUUGCAUGCACGAGCUUUUCAACACCUAACUUUGUCUUUUGAAAUUGCUUAGCCGACCAUCUUUGCUUUUUUGAAUUUGGCAAGCAAUUCUUUGACUUUUCAACAAUUCUCCACCUCGGCGAAGAUUUAGUAAAUCUGAGCCGAUUAUCAAUAAAUUAUCCUCCAGCCUUUGCCUUCUCCGACUGCUUUUAAACUUGCAGGAUAUUAAUCAAGUUUAGACAAUGCUCAAACUUGAUCGCUGUCACCACCUUGGUCAACAUAUCUGCGGGAUUAUCUAUAGUUUUAAUUUUCUGAAGAAGAAUCUUCCCCUCAUCAAUAAUUUCCCGCACAAAGUGAAAGCGUACAUCGAUGUGCUUCGUACGCACAUGAUAAACUUGGUUCUUCGUUAAAUGAAUAGCACUCUGACUAUCGCAAUACACAUUAAUGUGCUCCUGCGCCAAUCCCAAGUUUUCAAGCAAACCUUAUAACCAAAUAGCCUCUUUAAUAGCCUCUGUAAUUGCCAUGUACUCGGCCUCUGUGGUCGAUAGUGCAACUGUAGACUGUAGUGUAGACUUCCAACUAAUUGGCCCUCCAGCAAAAGUAAAUACAUAUCUGGUGGUUGACCGUCGUUUGUCCAAAUCACCAGCAUAAUCAGAAUCAAUGUACUCGAUCACACUUUGACCAAGUGUAUCGUCUCUUUCAAACAGUAAACCAACAUCCACGGUCUUCUAAAUGUACCGUAGAAUCCAUUUCACAGCUUGCCAAUGUCCUUUACCAGGAUUAUGCAUAUACCUGCUCACUAUACCAACUGCAUGUGAAAUGUCAGGCCUUGUACACACCAUUGCAUACAUCAAGCUACCCACUGCAUUUGAAUACGAAACUUGUAACAUGUAUUCUCGUUCUGCAUAUGUUGAAGGAGAUAAUUGUGCAGAAAGCUUGAAAUGAGAAGCCAACGGGGUACUCACAGGUUUUGUCUGCUCAGUCAUGCCAAACUGCUGUAGUACCUUCUUCAAAUAUUGCUUUUGAGACAAGCUUACUUUGCCACGAGCUCUAUCUCUGCAUAUCUCCAUGCCAAGAAUCUUCUUAGCUUCACCUAAAUCUUUCAUUUCAAAUUCUUGAUUGAGUUGAGUCUUCAACUUCUCAAUCUCAUUUUUGCUCUUCGAUGCUAUUAGCAUAUCAUCGACAUACAAUAGCAAAUAAAUGAAAGAGCCUUCUUGUAGCUUGCGAAAAUACACACAAUAAUCAAAUUUAUUUCUUGUGUACCUUUGUCUUUUCAUAAAUCGAUCAAAUCGCUUGUACCACUGCCUCGGAGAUUGUUUCAACCCAUAAAGCGACUUUGUCAAUUUGCAAACCCAAUUUUCUUUUCCAGCAACCUUAAAUCCAUCUGGCUGAGUCAUGUAGAUUUCCUCUUCCAAAUCACCAUGUAAGAAUGCAGUUUUUACAUCAAGUUGAACUAGUUCAAUAUCAAAUUGCGCAACCAUGGCUAGCAAAAUUCGAAUAGAUGAAUGUUUCACAACUGGAGAAAAUACCUCAUUGUAGUCUAUUCCUUCCUUCUGAGCGUAACCCUUCGCUACCAAUCUAGCCUUGUAUCGAAUUUCAUUUUUACAAGGAAAUCCUUCCUUUUUUGCAUAUACCCAUUUGCACCCAAUUGCCUUCUUUUCCUUGGGCAGUGUAACUAACUCCCAAGUUUCAUUUUUGUGAAGAGACUGCAUUUCUUCGUUCAUUGCUUUCUUCCACUGUAUACUUUCUGGAUUACUUACUGCUUCUCUGUAAGUGGAAGGAACAUCAUCAUCUACAAUUGGAAGUGCAUAGGCCACCAUAUCAACAAAGCGAGCAAGUCUGCGAAUCUCUCUAUGUGGCCUUCUAUAUGCAAUUGAAUCAUGUUGCUGUGAAGGUUCCUAGGUCAGAACCUCUUCAUCAUUUUCGGUCGAUGGAGAAUCAUUAUCCAUCUCAUCGACACCAGCUGGAUCAGCUUUAACUUUUUCAAACUCCACAUGCUGCAAACUGCUACUGGUCUUGUCAUUCUCUUGAGAAUCUUUUUGUUUCAACAUGGUUGAUUCAUCAAAAGUUACAUCUCUGCUGAAAAUAAUCUUCUUCGUUACAGGACACCAGAGACGGUAUCCUUUUACUCCACCAGUUAUACCCAUGAACAAUGCUUUCUUUGCUCUUGGGUCUAACUUAGAUUCUUUUACAUGAUAAUAAGUAGUGGAACCAAAAACAUGUAAAGAAUUAUAAUCAGUAGUAGGUUUACCAGUCCACAUCUCCAUGGGUGUUCUGCCCUCAAUUGCAGUUGAUGGCAAACGGUUGAUCAAAUGGCACGCAUAUACAACUGCCUCAGCCCAAAACUCUUUGCCCAAUCCAGCAUUGGAUAACAUACACCGAACUUUCUCCAGUAUAGUCCGGUUCAUGCGUUCUGCCACCCCAUUCUGUUGUGGUGUAUCUCGAACAGUGAAAUGUCGCACAAUACCCUCAUCUUGGCAUAUUUGAAGAAAUGGAUCAUUCUUGUACUCACCACCAUUAUCUGAGCGAAGUCUUUUGAUCUUUCGACCAUUCUGAGUCUCGACCAUUUUCUUCCAUUUCAUAAAUAUGCCCAAAACUUCAUUUUUGUUCUUCAUCAAAUACACCCACACUUUUCUUGAAUAAUCAUCAACAAAAGUAACAAAAUAGUGCAUACCUCCCAAAGAAGCUGUUUUGGUAUGUCCCCACACAUCACUGUGAACAUAGUCCAUAAUUCCUUUUGUAUCGUGAAUUGCUGAACCAAACUUUACCCUUGUCUAUUUGCCCAGAACACAAUGUUCACAAAAUUCUAAUUUGCAAGAAUUUGUACCUUUCAAUAAGCCUUGCUUCGCUAAAGUUUGCAAAGCUUUUUCACCAGCAUGUCCCAAACGCAUAUGCCACAAUUUGGUUGCUUCUAAAUCUGCAUCUUUUCCAGAAACUGUUGAUGCUGAUCCAAUAACUGUACUUCCUUGGAAAUAGUACAAGUUAUUUCUUCUUGUGCCUUUCAUUACCGUCAGUGCCCCAGCUACUACCUUCAACAAUCCAUCUCUUAAAGUGAUUGUGAGUCCUUUAGAUUCUAGGACUCCUAAUGAGAUGAGAUUUUUCUUCAAGCUUGGUACAUAGCGAACAUCUGUCAAAACUUGGAUUGAGCCAUCAUGAUUCUUUAAUUGGAUUGUACCUAUUCCCAUGGUUUUACAAGCAUUGUCAUUGCCCAUAAAAACAACUCCACCGUCUAGCUCCUUGAAGUUAGAAAACCAGCCCUUGUUAGGACACAUAUGAUAAGUACAACCCGAAUCCAAAAUCCACUCAUCUGAGUGACAUAUCAAUGUCAUGCCAACCAGACUAAAGUCUGACUCCUCAUCAUGCUCUGCUACACAUGCAUCAGAAGUAGCCUUGCCCUUUUGUAACUUAGGACAAUUCUUUUUCCAAUGCCCUUUCUCGCGACAAAAAGCACAUUCAUCUUUGGCAGGUCUCCCUUUAGACUUGUUCCUUUUUCCAGGUUUGUGGCUUUGCGAACGACCUCUCGCUGUCAGUGCUUCUGCAACUGUAUAUCUGUGAUCCUUUCUAUCUUUCUUUCUGGUCUCAGAGUUGUACAAUGCACUGCAUACAGCAUCGAAUGUGACACUGUCCUUCCCAUGAAGCAAAGUAGUGGUAAGAUGAUCAUAUUCAUCAGGAAGGGAAUUCAACAACAAUAAUGCCUUAUCUUCAUCUUCAAAUCUCUCAUCUAGAUUUAGCAAAUCCGCCAAUAUCUUGUUGAAUGAGUUCACGUGGUCAUUCAUUGACAUGCCAUGUGUAUAUGUAAAUCGAUAGAGUUUCUUUUUCAUAUAAAGCCUAUUUUCAAGACUUUUCUUCAUAUGCUUUUCUUCCAGUGUCUCCCACAAUUUCUUUGCCGAUGUCUCCCUCAUGACAGAGUAUUUCUGAUCUUUAGCCAGACAUAGGCGAAUAGUACCACAUGCCUGUCUAUUGAUUUUUAUCCACUCCUUGUCAUCCAUCACGUCAGGCUUUUCUUCAAGAGCAACGUCCAACUCUUGUUGACAUAAGACAUCCAACACCUCACAUUGCCACAUACCAAAAUUAUUGGUACCAUCAAAUUUCUCCACUUCAAACUUUGCAUUAGUCACAGUAGUUCUCGCUGAUGAAGACGACGACGGUGCCUCUGCCAUCCUUUUUAUCUCAAAUGAUCAGUUUCUUCAACAACUAUUUACACUUAAAAAACAGCCUCUAUGAUGUUUAUUUCGCGUGAAUAAAUGCACCAGGAAAGUUCCCAAGAGACUGGACGGGAACUCGGUCCCAAUUAAAAACCAGAAUCCUUAGACUCUUAUCGCCUUUGUUGACAGAACUUUCCUAGACAUGCAAAAAUACACACUACUUACAAUAGACUGCCUCCCAAGUAUAAAUGACCGUCUCCACCGUAUUUGUGAACAGUACCGUUUAUAGGAAUAGUACCGUAUACGUGAACAAUACCGUAUCCCCCCAAGUACGAGCCGUCGGCUCUGAUACCACUUGUUGCGGAAACGUGGGUUGAGCAAUUACUAAUACUGCAACUUCUGGAGAAAUAUAAAUGUGGUGAUAAACAAAUGCAAAGAAAAUAGAACACAAUGUUUUACGUGGUUCGGCGUAAUGCCUACGUCCACGGGCAAAAACUGGAAGAUAAUUUUACUAACAAUGAAAUUUACAAAAGUGGGAAAAACUCACAAAACCCACAACCCCAAUACACCCAAAUGGAACCUCACUAGAACACUCAAGUGGAAGCUCUCUCAAAUUCUCUCAAAGAACUCACUUGCAAUUGCUCUCUACUUCUCUCAAAUUGGGAUGGUUACAAUAGCAAAAUGCUUCUCUAUUUAUAGAUUGCAUUCUGCUCCAAGUUAGGUUCAAUUUGUCAAAACGUUGAGCUGGAUCUUGUAUUGCAUGCACGAGCUUUUCAACACCUAACUUUGUCUUUUGAAAUUGCUUAGCCGACCAUCUUUGCUUUUUUGAAUUUGGCAAGCAAUUCUUUGACUUUUCAACACUCAUUCAAGUGGCUAUAACUAAGAUAAAACGUCGCAAAGGAAGAGUAAUUAAAAAAUGUAACUUCUUUAACAUGUCCAUAUAGCAUUUUUGUUUACAAGUGAAUUUGUGUGAUAGAGAGAGGAUGUAAGCAAGAUAGUAAACUCCUAAAUAUAUUAUUGUUUGUAAUGUCUAAAAUUUGAAGAGAAUCAAGCUAAUAAAACUCCAUUGAAAUUAGACCUUCAAGAGUACGGUUCUUGGGCAUUAUAAAAUGUUGUAAUGUUGAGAGAUUACCCAACCAUUAUGGAAUCCUACCAAGAUGAUUGUUACCACUAAGAUACAAUCCUUCUAGUGAACAACAAUUAGACAAAUUUUUUGGAGAUCUCUCUUACAAAGUCAUUACCAUCCAAUCGCAAUUUUGAAUGAAAAUAAAUUUUUUUUAUUGGGAGUUUGACCUUAACAUUAAAUUUAGACAAUGAAUUUUAACUUUCUUCAAUUAUUAAGCAGAUUACGGACAUUUGAGGAAUUUGAAAACAUUUCAUCCAUCGAAAGUUAAAAUUAGAGAUGGAAGCUAGGUGCUACAGCUAAUGGGAACAUUAAUUCCUGUCCCUCAUCACACUUUAUUUUGGGUCUAAUAAUUUUACGGCAGCAUUGACCACUGCUCAAGGUAAGUAAAACUUACAAAUGUGUGGCAAAAUAAAUAAUUAAGUGGAUAAACUGUUAACUAAUUUUCUUGAUAUAUACAGCUAAUGUAGUUGUUCCUCUGUUAAAAAAACAAAUGCUAAGCAAUUUCGGCUGAGCCUGCUUGUGGUGUUGAUAAAAACGAGGGCUGGCUUCAAAUAUUUGAAUAGACACCUCCACCGUACCUCAAACAAAUCUGUCAUUAUUUGUGCCAUGAAACAUGUUUCGGCCGUCAAAGUCAUGAGAGGGUUGAUGACGCUACUACGUAUGAUGACACACCAGCCGACAGUGUAGUAACAGCUCAAAAACAAAAUCUACCAAAAUCAACGGAAGUUAAUAAAAAAUUAUUUUAUUAAUAAAAAUAAAUAAAUAACUUAUUAUUUUUGGAGACGUGUGUAGUUGAGUCUGUGGACUGAAAUGGAAAAUAUGAAGAAGUUCAGAGUCGUUGUGCAGAUUGACUUCAGUUAAAUGGGACUAGUAGAUAUUUUAUGCUGACGUGGCACGAAUUAGUUAUAAUCUGUUACAACGUUUCCAGAAACAUCAGUAUAAAUAGAAGCUGAUGAGCAGUGCCUGUUGUACUUGUACGAUCCUUUUUCUUCUUCAGUUGUUCGUCAAUUUGCAUAGAAUCUGUUUCAUUGUGAUCUGUGCAAAGUCUUCUAUAAAUCCACUUAUGUUUGAUUAGUUAUUGAUCAAUAUCGAGAACAUUAUCCACCUGGAACGACUUCAAGUCCAAAGUAAAAGAGAGAGUGGCUCCCCGCAAUUUUCUUGUUUUCAGUAUAUUUUCUUUUUUUUUUCUUUUUUAAAAUCUUUUGACGCAUGCAUAAUCUACCCUUGUUUAUUAUCUCUACUUUGCUCUGCUCAAGUCCAUUUUUUCAAAUCUUAUUUUAAAUAAUAAAUUGAAUAAAAGUACAUUUGUGUAAUUAAUUAGUAUCUGAGGGGGGCAGCAUAUUUGGUGGAGUGUUAUGCUAUGUAAGACUCAGCUAUUAUCAAACAGUCCCUUAACCAUUUAAUUUAAACCAACUUCUAUUUGGUUUAUUUGCUAUCUUUGUGGAUCUCAUAGGCGUGGCAGAGUUUAAUAAUUUUAUCGUCUGAAGAAUAGGAUAUUGGCUUCAAUAAAUUUAAUUUAAACCAACUUCUAUUUACUCCAUCAAUUAAUUAAUGACAUUUUGUUUUGAAAAAUUCAAUAAUUAAAUUCUCACGUUUCAUGUGUUUGAAGUCAAAUUAUUCAUUAACUAGAACUCUGUUCAAAAUUGACUGUCUUGUGGUUCCCAAAUGUAGUUGUAAUAUUGAAUGAAAGUAAAAACUUUCUAUGGCGAGUUUAAAUCUAAAUCUGGACAAUGAAUUUUGAGUUUCUCAAUGCUAUUCUAAUAACAAAAAUUAUGUUGAUUGAUUUAUUGUUACAGUUACUAUCCUUUGAAAAUGGAUGGAUUCAUUGUUUCCGUGACCAAAUUAUGCCUGCCUAACGCUGCAACUAUUAAAAAAUUUAAUAUUUAAUGCACAUGUUAAAAGAUUUAAAAUUUUAUGCAUUUAUUAAUUGUUAUAAUCUUAAAAAAAAUUAAUUAAUUCAGGUCAAUCUGAGUUGGUGCAUCUGCAGGAGCCUUUUUUUAAUUUUUUUUUCCCCUUAUUGACCAUAAUGACAUCUCCUUCAACAUGACUAUUGACAAAGAGCAUGUAAAAACAUGGAAACAGAACUUCCACAGGUGGAAUUUAAGUUUUGGCCAUGUGGCCAUGAAAGAAAAAGGAAAAGACGCCUCUAAGAUUUGUUUCAGUGGUUUACAUUGACUCUUUAAUUUAAUUUAUAGUAACACAAUUUUUUUUGUACAAAUAUAUAUUAUUCAUGUUUUGUAUUAUAUUUUAACAUCAUAUUUUUAUUUAUUAUAAAUAUUUAAAGCUAAUUUUUAGGUUGAUAUUUAAUAAAAGGGUAUAAUCGUUCCAUCCAUUUCUCAUCUCGCGAUCUCUCUCAAUUAUCCUUUAUUGAUAGCUCAAAGCGCGUUGCUGUGGAAAAUUGUAGCAAAAUGAAAAAUUGGAAAGAAAGGGAAGAAAAUUAAUGCUUGGAGAAAGCAAUCCAAUAAGUCAACUGGUCUUUAGUGGGAACAUAUUACAAAAAGGCCUCGAUCAUCAUAUCGUAGACUCGGGGAUAAGGAUUUGGAUCGAGUUUUUGUUUUGAUAUUGAAGGACCUACUUCUCUGCCGCGAUGUAGAAUAUAUGCAAGGAGUUGUCUACUGCUCUUUAGGUCAUAAUAAUGUGAUUGGUGCAUUCAACGUUGCCCCGAAACACUGGAAAGUACUUCCAUAUCCUCCGAAUGAGAACUGAUUUAUAUAUGAUUUCCUAAUUGACUCAGGAUCAGAUGACAACAACAACUUAUUAAUAGUUAUAUCAAAACGGCAGAAGACGUGUUUUGUUUACAGGUUUGAUCCAUUUGGAAUGAAGUGGUCUCAAGUCGAAAGUAAUUUAUCGAAUAACUUUCGACUAAUUAAUAGUUAUAUCAAAGGGUGUGGGUGUUUUACCUCAUCAUGUCUUCAAGUGGAAGAUGAAGACUAGCAAGUGAAUUCAGGAAUAUUGCAUGCCAUUAAAUUUGUAGUUUUUACAUGUUGAUCAGCAGGAUACAACAUUAAAUUUUGUCAUUGACAAUACUGCAUGCCUGUCGUCUAAAGCAUUACCUCACAAGGUUUUAUGAGAAACGAAAGAUGUGUUUGCUUUGAACAAUUAAAGUUACUGCUACGAACCUCCCCAAAGGUCAAGAAGACAGAACAGGAAGCUAAUGCCAUCAAUGUCUUGUUCAUUAUAGCUGCUGGGUAGUUAGGUGUAGUUUCCUCAUUUGAAGCUGUCUAUACAUGGGCAUUUCCCCUGCUUAUGUACAAAUAAAUGAACAACCUUGAAGCUUUAUUAUUCGCAACAAAAAGGGAUUACUAAUUGGAGAAGACUAUACAGAGUUUCUCUCACACUUUCACUCUGUCAAUUUCAUCUAGAAGUCCCUCUAAAAGCAUCUCCCAAAACAGUUAGUCAUCUUUUAUGCUCUGUUUGUAAAAAAUGUGGGCUUUAUUCUUUCUAGAAGAGAUGGAAUUCUAGAAGAGAUGGAUUUGCACGGUCAAAAAGAAAAGAAAAGCCGUAAAAUAAACAGUAGCCGCAAAAUGAACAGUAGCCGCAAAAUGAACAGUAACCGCAAGAUGAACAGUAGUCACUGGUGGCUAUAAAUAGAGGAGUGCUCCUCCUUAUUGUUUGUAUCCAAAAUCCCAGAGAAGGAAUCCAAGUUUUGGUGAGAAAUUGAGAAAGAAAAAUAUUCUUAAGCAUGUAGUUAUAUUGAAGGAGCAUUUGUCUCCUCAAUAUGGGUAUUACGAGUUUGCUUUGUUAAGAGGUAUUUCUCAAGAUUAUGUAUUUGGGGUUUGGGUGAGAGAAAAUUUAUGAGAGUGCGGUUGUAAUAAUUUUCCACAUAGUGAAUAUUUUUUCUCUGGUUGUCUUUUUGACAACGGCCGUGGUUUUUUCUCCGGAUUUGGAGUUUUCCACGUAAAUCUUGUGUUGUGGGAUUGAUAUUAUUUUUCAUUUAAUUUUUCUUGUUAAUUUGUUAAUUGACAAAUUGCUUGGAGAGAUCUUGGGAGGAAGCUCAAUUUCCUAACAGUGGUAUCAGAGCCAUUGAUUGAAGUUUUGGUGUCGGGGUACUAUUCACGUAUACGGUACUGUUCACGUGAAGCAGUUUGAGCCAAUCCGAAUAAUCUGUGGUGAAGAGAAUAUGAAGCAAAUAUGUCAGCAGCUGGUGUUUUUCAAACUUGGUUGAAGUUUGAUGUUGUUGAAAAAUUAAUGGGAGAAUGAUUUUAUUGGCUUGUGGAGAAUUCAAGUCAAAGGUGUAUUCAAUCUGGGUUACACAAGGCAUUGAAGGGGAAGCCAUCCCCUGCGUCCAGUGGUGGCUCUGGAAAAGCUAGUAUAAGUGAUGAAGAUUGGGAAGAAUUAGAUGAUCGAGCUGCAAGUGCCAUACGACUAUGUCUAGCAAAGAAUGUUCUUGCAAAUGUAGGAAAAAUUCUUACAGCGAAAGAACUUUGGGAGAAGCUAGAAAAGUUGUAUCAGACAAAGAGCAUCUCAAAUCGAUUGUACCUGAAGGAGCGAUUUCACACACUGCGAAUGGCUGAAGGUAUAAAAAUUUCCGAUCACCUCAGUGUUCUCAAUGGUAUUGUGUCAGAACUAGAAGCCAUUGGAGUUAAAAUUGAAGAUGAGGACAAGGCGCUUAGGUUACUAUGGUCACUUCCAACUUCCUACAAACACUUGUUACCUACUUUGAUGUACGGGAAGGAUACAGUAGAUCUUGAAGAAGUUACUAGUACUUUACUCUCAGAAGAAAGAAGACUGAAUGGUGAAAGUACUAAAACUACAGAUGUCUCGGCUUUGGCAGUUGUAGGGAAUUGGCAGAAAGAUAAAUCUAAGAAGAAAGGAGUCUGCUGGGGGUGUGGACAAUCGGGGCACUUAAAAAGAGAUUGUCAUAGUAGAAAUGGAGUAGGAUCGGCAAGUGGCUCCAGAUUAGAUACUGAUAGUAUUGCUAGUGGUAAGUCUCUCAUCAUCAUGGGAGACGAUGAUCCCUUGUAAAAUGGAUGAUGAUGACAUCCUCAUGGUAUACCGCUAGUACCAUGAAAGGGGAUAUGUUACUACUAGCGGGUCCACAAGAUUUACACACAAGGCAUGGUUGGCAUUGAUGCAGGGUGUGUGGUGGAAUUUAUGUCGAUGAUUGACAAACUUCCAGGAAGGCCAACAUGGAAGUUGCACCAUAAAUUUCAGCAGGAUAUUUCGACAUGUGCCGAUGUAAAAUUCUUAGAAUUGGUAAUUAAUUCUAAGUGGUAUAUUCUUUAUGGUGGAGUAUGAUAAUUCUCUAUGACGAGGAUUAUGACUUAGGUGAAAACAGUAAGGACAGUGUGGAGAUUGAUUGGUUCUUAAUCAAAUCUCCAAGUGAGAGAAUGUAAAAAAUGUGGGCUUUAUUCUUUCUAGAAGAGAUGGAAUUCUAGAAGAGAUGGAUUUGCACGGUCAAAAAGAAAAGAAAAGCCGUAAAAUAAACAGUAGCCGCAAAAUGAACAGUAACCGCAAGAUGAACAGUAGUCACUGGUGGCUAUAAAUAGAGGAGUGCUCCUCCUUAUUGUUUGUAUCCAAAAUCCCAGAGAAGGAAUCCAAGUUUUGGUGAGAAAUUGAGAAAGAAAAAUAUUCUUAAGCAUGUAGUUAUAUUGAAGGAGCAUUUGGCUCCUCAAUAUGGGUAUUACGAGUUUGCUUUGUUAAGGGGUAUUUCUCAAGAUUAUGUAUUUGGGGUUUGGGUGAGAGAAAAUUUAUGAGAGUGUGGUUGUAAUAAUUUUCCACAUAGUGAAUAUUUUUUCUCUGGUUGUCUUUUUGACAACGGCCGUGGUUUUUUCUCCGGAUUUGGAGUUUUCCACGUAAAUCUUGUGUUGUGGGAUUGAUAUUAUUUUUCAUUUAAUUUUUCUUGUUAAUUUGUUAAUUGACAAAUUGCUUGGAGAGAUCUUGGGAGGAAACUCAAUUUCCUAACACUGUUUUCUAGAAACAGAGUCCUAACUAAAUUGAUUGACUGAACAGUGCAUUUCAACAUAGCAUAUUUAACUGUUUAAACAGUUAUUUGAACCGUCUUCAGAGUUAUCAUCAACAAACUCAUUCAUACUGGUCCAAUCUUACGGACGAUAUCAUAUGCUUAAUAAUGAACGAAUAGUCUUGGAUCAGUGUUUUGCGGCAAGAGCAACUCGACACAAUCUGGAUUCAACCUCCUCCUAUCUAACAAGGGAUUUCGAUUUGAGUUACUUGGUGCUCAAGCAAAUUCACAUCAUAGUUUUGAUUCUUUAGAUAUGAAUUCAUCACAUUACAUAUAUCAGAUUAAGUGUAACAAAAUUCUUUAUCUACUGCGAAAAUAAUAUGCGCUAAAAAAUGAUUUCAAGACUAUUUGACUACAAAAAGCAGCUGCAUGGCUCAGCCUCAGGUAAGAAAGCCACAGAAAAGGAAAAUCUCACUGUCACGACUCACGUCACGCAUCAUUCAAGUGAUGGAUUUAACAAGACUGCUUAUGUUCUAUCAAAUUCCUCUGCCUCUCAGAAGAUAACUUUUCUGGGCCAAAUUUCUCAUCUAAAGCAUAUUAUGCCCCAAAGUCAGAGAUAACAAAAUGGGGCACUACCGAUUAUGAAAGAGAGCUAGUAGUUGUCAGAAGCCUAAGUCAAAUUCCGGUAGUAAGAAGAGGCCUUUCUUGAGUUUAGAUUAUGUGUUCGAGUUUUAAUAAAUGCCUAAGUUAAUAAUAAUAACAACAGUAAUAAUAAACUAAAAAGCAUAAUUACUAUUGAAUGGUAAAAAAAAAAAAUGAAAAUGUGUGAACUCCAAUAACCACCCCAGUGGCGAAUUUUGGAGAGGGCUAGGCCGGGCUUCUUAGAAAUUAUUUUUAUUUAAUUACAAAAUCACCUUUACUGAAACCUAUAUAAAAUUUUUUAUAUUAAUUAAUUAUGUUGCCUCUUCAAUUAUCAUUGAAUUCUUGUCCGUUCAUCAUUUGAUGGAUAAAUGUGUAUUUCAAUAAUUUCAAAUAAUGUCUAGAACAAAUAUUUUGAAUGAUAAAACUCAUUAUGUCCUGCAUUACUAGAUGUAUCUAUAAUUUAUUAUUUACAAAUUAUAUUGUAUGAUAAAAAUGUAUUGAAUUUUUUAAAAAAAAAAAAGUUCGGCUCACUCAGAAAAAAAUGUUAUUAGCUUCGCCACUGCACAAAUCUAGAAUAAUAAUUAUUCCUUAUUAUAUUGACUGCACCAAGCAAUAAACUAAUAAGUUCUCAUUAGUGGUUUUUAAUCUUUUUAAUUCUUUUUACCGCACACCUGAUCAAUAAUUCUAUUUUGUUAACUAAUCAAUUGCAAAUCAUAUAUUAGUGUUGAACGGUGAACAAAAUUGAAAAAAAAAAUUCUUAAAAAACGUGUGGACUCGGAUAGCCAGACCAGAAAUCUAUGACAAUAAUUAGCUUUGAUGCUGGGAAUCUUUUAGUUUCUGGCCGUAUUGACUCCACCAGUGAUGCUGGGAAUCUAAUGGAGCUCAUUCUUUGGUUUUACUUGCAGGUCUAGAAGCAGGUGUCAUCUUGUAAAGAAGGAAAAUAAUAUUUGCCUUUUUGAAUAAUUUUAUUGAACCAGGAGACGCAGCUAUAUACAAGAGAUUUCCUACAAUCAUGCUAAUCUAUUCUAGGUAGUCUAAGGGCCAGUUUGGUAAUGCUGCAGCUUUUAAAAUAAUUACUGUUAGCUGUGCUGUAGAAAUAAUCAGCUGUGAAGAGAAUCAGUUAAGUGUUUGGUAAAUUUUAUUUUUAAAAGUACUGUGAAUUUUGAAAGCAGUUAUGGGUGUUUGGUAAAUCUUAUUGUUAAACUGCUGUAAGAAAAUAAAUGACUAAAAUGUACAUAAUGUAGGAUGAAAUUUACUUAUACAUAUAAAAAUAUACACGUACAAUAUUAUAAUAAAAAUUGCAUAGGCAUAGAAUUGUUUAUAUAUAAACAAACCCAAAUAAGACAAACAACAAAUAUUAUAAUAAAAAAUACAUUGAAUAUGCAUGAAAAGGGUGAUGAAUCACUUACUGUUAUUGAAUAUGGUUAUGGAACACAUACUGGAUCUUGCUUUGUUGCACUAGAGAAGUUUUGAUAGAACACAAAAUAUGAAGAAAUAGGGUAAACGAAAGGUGUGUGUUAAUUAUAAUAAAAAAUUAUUAAAAUAUUGAUUUUAUUUCCAAUUUAAAUAAGGAUAAUUUCGGGUUUAAGUAAUAAUUGUAAGGAUAUUUAUGGAAUUAUAUUAAAGGAUAAAAUUGAUUCUCAAAAUCAAAAUCUAAAAGUUACUCCUUCCCUGCUUUUCAAAAUCAGCUGUAGGAGGAGCUGAUUCUGGCAAAAGUAAUUUUGAUUUUUUUUUUACCAAACACC
rnacentral:lncRNA from 1 species